AUGCAGUACCUUUGUUGAUUAUAUUGUAUGAUUGUUGCCUAGUGUGUUUACAUGCCAUUUCUUAAAUUCUCAUCCUUUUCUUUUCUUCAUUUUAUUUUGUUUACAUAGGUGGUGUGCAUAACCUGUCAACAGGACUGCAACAGGCCCGAUGCCACUGGGUUGACAUUUACCAUCGGGCUAGAUGGGGACACUUCAGCUGUGGUAUAAAUAAUCAUGUCAAUUUUUACUUGUAUUGUGUUUGUUCCCCUCUACUUUGAAGAUUAAAAAAUGUAGGAAAUAAAUAGCAAUUUAAUUCUACAUCUAUAGAUCGUGCCAUGCUACGCAUGGCACCAGUUCAGUGCCAUCCCAGACAGUUCAUUUAUUUUUCAAGCGAGAGGGAGCCGCAUGUAUGAUUUUGGAAUGUACAAAGGGAAUUGCCAUCCCAGAUAGUUCAUUGCUUUUUCAAGCGAGAGGAAGCCGCAUGUAUGAUUUUGGCAUGUACAAAGGGAAUUCAAGGGCGAUCAUCGGUGGUGAAAACUGGUGCAGGUUUGUGGAAGACUUCGACCUGCGAGAAGGCGACCUUGUCUCCUUCGAUUUGACUGAAGACAUUCCUAUGGUGUGCUGCUGCAACCUACCAAGGACAUGGGAUCAAAAUGAAGAGCGUAAUCCUCAAAAAUCAGUUGUCAUAACAAAGGGAAUUAAUCUGACGAAGCAAGAGGAGCGUAACCUACAUGACCUUUUGGUGAUGAAGAAAGGUUAUAUAGGUGUAUUUUUUGUCCACCGCUUCACCAAGUCGAACAUAGCAGGAAAGACGAUGGUAUGUUUUUGGUGUGCUAGUAUUUUUUAUUUUGUAUGCAAUUUUCUUUGUUUUUUCAUGGAGAGAAAGAUUAAUAAUAUGCUAUUAUAGUUGAAACCAGUGAAUACACUGAUGUGUGUUUUUGCAUAUCCUUUUGUUUCCCAUAACUGAAGAUCCUUAUGUAAUAUAUGUAGAUGUAGCUGAAGAUCCUUUUGUUUACUGCUCCUUAACAUAUUUAAUAAUUUUUCUUCCUAUGAUGGUGCAUACAGAGAUUACCGGCGAAAGUUGUCGACGCCCUGAAGACCCCAGGAUAUGGGGAGAUACCGGGAGAUGGGCUUGCUGGCAUUCGGCUGUGCAAGGACAGUUUCACGCCGGUCAAGUACCACAAGUGUGAUGAUGGCCGCAUCAUCUUUGGCAAGGGAUGGAGUGAUUUUGUUGACAGUGAAGAGCUCAAGGUUCAUAAAGCCGUUCUUUUCGGUUUCAAGACCAUCUUCAGAUCGAGGUGGUUAUGAACAUGUUGACCGAGGAGCCACAAAUGUAGCACGACAACGCAAGAGUGUCAUUUACACUAGGUAUGGUGUGAAAACUAUGUUGAUAGCAGUUAUGCAUCUAUGGGGUUACGUCUUCAUUAUGUCUUGGGUGAUGAUGACUAUGAGAGGAGGACAUGUUGUAGUUAGAGUAAAUGCUAGGAUUGGGUCCUAUUCAAGACUCAAAAUAGGGCUUACACAGGUGGUUGCUUUAUUGGUUGUUGUUUCCCUGGCUAUAAUCAUGAACAAUGGUAAUGCAAAUGGAAUCUUUAAGGGGGUUUUAUUAAUAAUUUAAAUCAUGGAGUUAAGAUGGUAGAACUACCUAUGAGUGUUUGCGUAGGAGAUGCGGGAAGGGCAUCAUUUGUGUUCUUCACUCUUUGGUAAUGCAGCAAUAAUGUGAGAUUACAAAAUAAAUGGUAUAGUGAUCUUGUGAUUCUUGUUUAGCUAAUUUGCUUGUGGAUCAUGGGAUGGUCUAUAUUGCAGAUGAAGGUGAUAAACAAAGAGGUGUUGAUGUUGGGAGCAAAGAGGUGCUGAUGGUCUAUAUGCGCAGGCUAGAGCAUGUAGCAGGUGAAUUGUACAGUUCAUCGCAAGUGUGAAGUCACAUGAUACUGCGGUGUCGCCUGCACAUCUCUCAGCUAUAUUUUCUGUCCUUUGCCGCAGUCUUAUUUUUUGGACCUUCAUGUUAAGUCUGGCUGGGCUUGCUACCAUGUAUGAUUUGUGCUGCUAGUUGAUUACUUUAGUUUCUAGUUGUAGUUUGUAUCAGGGGCUUGAAAGACCAUGUGGUUUCUGUUAAUGGAAAAUCAAAGGGGGCGACCCUUCUUUUGAUUAAAAAAUAUGAACUUUCUCUAUGCAAUUAAAAAAUAAAUUUUCUCUAUUCAAACCCAGUUGAGAAUAGUAUUCAUUAUAAAUCUGAAAUAAUCUUUUGGUAAAAAUGGCUAUCGCAUUCUGUAUCAUAGCUAGUGAAACUGAAACAAAAUAAACGUCUUAAGUAUAAUAUCUCUUGAACACAGAUCAAAUUAGGCAAGACAGCUAGAAUAAAGGAUGAUUCAACUUGCAGGAAAUUUGAACUUACGACUUACUAGCAGUAUAAUAAAGUUUACAGACUAUCAUCUAGAUAAAUAGAAGAAACAUUUUAGUUUGAUUCAUUCUUCCUUCCGGACUUCCUUGACCACCUAGAUGGUUUGGCGAGAUGCUGGCACUGACUCUCGAACCCCUUUUGGAAGUUCACCAAUCGCCUGUAUACAUCAUAGGUGGCAUACGCAUCCCUCGAAGCAUAAUAGAUGUUCUUCAAGGGCAAGGGCGCUUCUGCCCAUAUAUGGUGGUCAUCUUCUGUGAUAGCAUCCUUCAUCUUGUUGUAGCUGUGGUGGAUGAUGGAACCAGCGUAGUCAGCCAAGCCAUACUUUGGCUUAAUCGUCACUGGAUCAGGCACUCUCCACAAAUUCUGGAUAUCCACAAAGUUUCGUACCACCAAACCAACACGCUUGAGUUUUUUCUGGUCAUUAUUGAUGUCCACCCCAACAAAGGUGUACUCCUCGUCGAGCAGGAAGGCGGCAAGCAGGCUGCAGUGCUCAUCAGCAACGCUUAUGUGGUACAUGAGCACAUAGAUGCCAACGCAUAACUGGACCACAGCAGCAAUUUGUGUUGGACCACGAGGCCAGGUGAACUCCACAUCCAGUGCAACUAUCUUCUGGUCGUUGUUCUGCAGCCAGUAUUUGAAUCUGCGAAUGCAGUACUCAACACUACUAGCCUUGUUCAUGUAAUUCACAAAAAUUCCGAUAUUUCCAUCUGCCCUGACAGCUCAAUAUUUCACGAACGCCAUGUCGAAGGACUGUAGUUGAUGAAACCAGUAUAAGACAUGAACCAUGACAAUAACAUGAUAACAAUAAGCCGAGAUGAAAGAUAGUAUAGUAAUUAUGGCACUACUGAAAGUUUAUGUAAACAAGUGCAUGAACAAUUUAAACUAAACAUGUACUCCCUCUAUAAAGAAAUCACUAAAGUAGUGAGCCAAAAGUUGUUAUAUUUCCUUGCAGAGGGAGUAUAUGCGAAUUAACAAUCAAAAUUUACACUCUUGAAAUAUUUAUCUAAAAAACUCCAUCAACAAUCAAGAAUAAACAUGUAUCUAUGAAUUGUUCAUGGCCCAAGCAGAUGAAUCUGUGUGUAUAAACUAAAGAAGAAGGAGAAAAACAAUAAAUUGACAAGACAACGGACUAGAUGUUACAUGCAGAUGAAUCUAUGUGCACAAUUCUCAUAAGGAAAUGGACUACAUGUUGAAGGCAGUUGAAUCUGUGCGCACAAAAUAAAGAAGCAGGAGAACAAGAAAUUGACAAGAAGAAGGCCAUCGUAUGUGCUGCUAUUGGAGAACUACUAACAAAAUUGACAGGAAGGAGAACUCACCAUUCCAGAAGCUAGAUUGUUGGGAGAAUGGGUGACACAGAGGAAGAGGUAAUAGAGAGGACACAGAGGCAGAGGAACCGAUUUUGGAGAGUCGUGGCAGUGAGGACGAAGCGCCCUCGCGCAUGCCCGUCCUAAAUAAUUGGGACGGGGCUCGUCCCGCCUGUUGGAGUCCUCCCACCUGUUGGAGUCCUCGCUUUCCUUUCUCAUGUCCUCAUUUAAAAUGGGCUCAUCCCAUUAUAAUAGGCCCGUAUAAGAAAGCACAAGAAGCCCAAACGCUUCACGGUUGAGAUUAACUUGCUAAAAAAAUUCCCAAAGAAAAACUUGCUAAAAAAACACUACGUGAUCUAAAACUACCUCUUCGUGACAUCCUAAAUUCCCAAUAUUUCCAUGUGGUCGGGUGUUAGAGAAUCCCCUAUAAAUACAAAGCUUUUCACGGCAUAGAUCAUAUACUCCACCCCACACCUCCCACCCCAUGCCUCCCAUACCUAGCCUUCCAUGACUACACCAAAUUACCACCCCACGCCGCCCAAAGUAGCUCCCAGGUCGGUGAAACCGACGGAGUAGUCAUCUUCAAAGCAUGCGUCAGCGAAUCAGGAGAUGAAAGAGAAGGGCACGUCAGAGAAGCCAACGAAAGAGAAGGGCAUCUAGGACAAGCUGGCGAAGCAAAAGAUGAAAGCGAACGGCAAUGGAGCCGGUGGCCAUCGAGAGAAUCCUCCGGUAACGAUCGAGAUCCUUGUAUUCUGCAUAUUCCCUCCUUCCCAAGUUUGCAUGCAAUCCCAUAAUUUACGACGCACUUCCUUUUUAUCUUGUUUAGUUACAGCCAUAACGAACUAUCCCUAUUUUACCGAAGGGAGAUGGGUGUGUCUAGAAAGAAAAGAAAAAAGGACCCAAAAAAGGCUUGCAUGAAUCUUAGCAUAAAAUCAAUGACAUAGGACUUAGAUGUGCAAUAAAAUCAAGGUUAUCGUCUCUGUUUAUAUGCCUUAAAAUUUCGAAAUUCCUAAGUUUUUGGCAUAGGCUUUAUAAAUGAGUUCUUAAUCUCUAGUGAUUGAAACUGUUGGUGAUUCCCCUUAAUUUUGCAUGGUCUUUACUAAUUGAUAUUUUUGAAUCUGAUGGGAACUAAGGAGUAUGUGCUCUUGAAUGCUUGCAAUGGAACUACAACAUUCCUUUUUUGAGAUUAUCUAUAAACUAUUGAUCUUCUGAUCAUGUAUGCAAUUAUUUUCGUAAGCAUGACGCCUGAAACUUUAGUAGUGUACAUAGACCAAAGUCUGCUCUUUCUACUAAAAAUCUAUACUAUUAUAAGUCAAUUUGCCGACAGAGACAGCUUGUUUUUCUAUGUCUGGUGUUCAUUUAUGGCCCAGAAGCUCUAUGAAUUCAUGCAGUACUGUAGAGCACAAUUUUGAUAUUGACAUAGAUUAGAUCUAGUCGGUUCUAUGUGUGUUUAAAUGAAUAUCAAACAGAAUCUAAUCACACUAUUUGUACAUUCAGGGAACUCAGGUUGCUUCUUUGCUGCAAUAUGAGAAGUUCAUAAAAGAUUUAAACACAUAGCAACUGACGUACAUCAAGUUUAUUGGACUGGGUGAACUUCUCAAGACUCCUGGCAUGAGAAUGAGACGUGUACUGUGCCAGGCCAUCGCUUAUUCAUACGAUACAGAGCAGGAUGCCUUUAUAAUUAAUGGGAUACCAUGUAGGAUCACACUAAAAGAUGUGGAGCAUAUAACAGGCCUGCCCUGCAUGGGGAAGAAUCACGUCUCUUCAAAUCACAACGAUACUUUGGAGUUGUGGAAGGAACUGAAAGACCCCAAUGACACAAAAGUAACUUUGAAAGGAUUUCUAGCCAAGAUGAAAGGCGACAGCACACCUAAUAUUGUCAGGCCAUUUGUCUUGUACACCAUAGGCAAAUAUGUUUCCUACCAGAUUGGCAGUUCAUUGAUUAAUUCCAGGCUAAAUCUUAGGUUCUGGUCUUGUCGAUGCCAAUUAGUGCAGCGGGCGCUUGCCUUCUUUUCUCCUUCCGCACGAGUUAUGGAAGGCAUCGAUGGCCCAUGUUUUAAUUCCAUACUACUGACCAUGAUUAGCGCCUAGAGUUGAGGAGACCACGGUUGGAUAUUUUUUAUUUUUGAAUCUUUAUUUUAUUUCAGAUAAGUGCCUUGCAAUGGAGAUUACCUUAUAUGACCUUUCAAGUGUAACCAAGCUGAAUCUAAUGCUAGUAUUUGCACAUUCAUGGAACUCAGCUUGCUUGUAAACAAAUUACCUCAUGAAGUAGCGUAGAGCACAAUUUUUAUGUUGGUAUAUAUAUGUUGUAUUCGUCUGUAUGAGUGUUUAAAUUGUAUACCAUGCUGAAUCUAAUCACACUUGCACAUCCAUUGAACCCAGGAUGCUUCUUUGCUGCCAUAUGAGGAGUUCAUCAAUGGAUUAAACACGCAGCAAAGGAUGUACAUCCAGUUGUUAGGACUGGGUGGACUUCUCAAGACACCUAGCAUCAAAAUUAGACGUGUAUUGUGCAUGGCCAUCGCUAAUUCAUAUGAUGUAGAGCAGGAUGCCUUUAUCAUCAAUGGGAGACCAUGUAGGAUCACACUAGAAGAUGUAGCGCAUAUAACAGGCAUGCCCUGCCAUGAGAAGAAGCACGUCCCUUCAAAUCUUGAUGAUAAUGUGGAGUUGUGGAAGAAACUAAAAGACCGUAAUGGCACCAAAAUAACUUUCAAAGGAUUGCUAGCCAAGAUGAAAGGCGAUAACACACCAAAUUCUGUCAGGCCAUUUGUCUUGUACACCAUAGGUAUAUAUGUAUGCCAAACAAAAGAGGAGUAUGUGGAUAAUAAAUAUAUUGGGAUUGUUAGAAACCUUGAGACGAUAAACACUAAUCUUGGACAGUUAACGCUUGACUAUCUUAUGGAUAGCGUGAAGAAUUUUGUAAAUGGUGAGGCAAUUCUGGAGGGGAAUCUAAUACUCUUGCAGGUAAUUCAUAGUAGUACAAUUAUCACUUACCUAACAUACAUUACAUAAUGUACGAGAAUAUUUGUAAACUCCUUUUGUUGUCAUGCAUACAUGGUACUACGAGAAGUUAAGAGUGAACCAAUUGGACUCUAGCAUCUCGUAUGAAUCAAGGUUAAGGCCGCUGAUCCUGAACUGGAGUGAGUUGAAGGCAAAAAAGGUUGACAAUAUAAUCUAGAAUAAUUAUCUGGGAGUUGGAGAGGUAAAAUGUCAGCACAUUGCUUGGAUUAUGUAACAUGUAUAUUUUCUAAAUCAUACCAACGACACUAAACUGCAGUAUGUUGAGGACCUGAUGAUGCCUUUCAUUCCAGCCGAGAUGGUACGCUGGCCAAACUGAAGACUGGUGCUCAGGUAAAUGAGUUACAUCAGGAACAAAUAUAUAUUGUAACAUUCCAAUUAGUAUGAAGUUAUAUGAUUGUAAUUGUUUCAAAUUCUCAGAUUAAAGUACUCGUCGGACAUGUAUUGACUGAUUUGCAAGAAGUUGCCUCCCUCGUGCGGGAGGCUAGUGCAGAACAAGUCGAUAGGAUGUGCACCCUUGAAAAGAAAAUGGAUGAGUGCCUUAGGCGUACCCGUACAAAUGGCAAGCUCAUAGAGGACCUCAUCAAAGAAUUGAACGUAAGCCUAGAAUUAUGAGAUUAGUAUAUAUAAUUGGAAAUUUACUUGUACAAGGUUUUUUCUAAAUUAGUUUACUAUGAAAACACCCCAGACUAACAUGUAUUUUUUAAAUACAAAACGCGAUGGAAUAUUCCCAGGAGUGGAGGACAUACAUCUUUCUGACCUCGGGGCACCUUCACAGCCAAUGGAGGCCUCUGUUGAGAAUACUGAGUAGGCUUCUGACCAGGGGAAACAAAAUGAUGUCACAGAGGUUGCUGCUAAGCACCAUUGUAAGCAGCGAAUAAAAAGUGAUGACAUGGAGCCCCCAAUGAAGAACCUUGAUGAAGAGUUUGACGUACACAUGUUAACUUAAUUAUGAAACAGUCAUUGUCGUUUCAGAAAAAACAUGUGAUCUUCCACGUACAGGAUGAAGCAUUAGAAAGAGCUGAAAUAAAACUCAAACAGGAUCUUAGUGGUCUUCAUAAGCUUUUGAAAGAGGUGGAUGAUAUCCAGGGUGCUCCUAGUUUGGAUAAGAAAAUGCAUUCCAAAGCCACCACAAGCCUUGAAGAUUUCCAGGUGAUACAAACUUCACCUAUAAUUGAGCAAGAAUCUGCUAAAGGCUAACACGUGGUUUAUUUCGUAUGAUAGAAUCCGUUCAACAGAUGGAGUAAGCAGCACUCUGUGAAGGCUAUGGGAUCGCGAGAGCCUGAAGAGCCCCGUGCCUUCACAGAUGAUGACAGCCAUGAUGAAUCCUUUCAAAAGCAGCAAGAAGUAAGUGUGGUUGAAUCGACGCCACCAAAUCAUGGGGGCAAAAAGAAAAGUGUGGUAUUGCAAUUAUUUAAGAAUGACGAGUAUGCUUCGUAUGAUACCGAGGAGAAAAAAAAGGAAAACUAAGACUCCAUCAGAGUCUACAAAUGAUUCCGAGGACACGAACAAUAAAAAGAGGAAAAUCGGCUCUAGCAACUUAAAAAAGAGGUCAGAAGUUACUGAAACCCAGCGGGACCAGCUAGAUGUGGUUUAACAGGAUUUCGUGGUGUCACUGAUCAACACUACAAAUCAUGAAAAACAAAUGGUUUAGUUGAUGACAUUGUCAUGCUAUCAAAGCAUUUGCAAUGCCUCACCCAAAAAGAUGGAUCUGAAGAUGGCGUAUGGUUCGGUGAUGAAGUAAGAUAUUUCACAAAUUAGUUUAUGAAGUUUCAUUUUUGUACAAUACAUUUAACUUGAUUAUUGCUGUAGGUGGUUGAUGCUGCGAUCCAGCUCAUGCGUCAUGAUGACCCAAUUGACACAAGGGAUGGCCAGCUGGUUUACAUUGAGAGGGUGGCCGGCGUCGCUAAGCUCGAAAGAGAUGGUAGGAUAGAGGAGUGGUACGAGGAUGCUUUGGCAGACAUUCCUAGAACAACACAAGGCACCAGCUACCUGAAACAUGAUAUGGUAUUUUAAACUGACGUAGAACAUAUUUUUUUAUUACUAUACACGUUGAUCAAAUUAUCUGUGCACUCCGGGUUUUCCUACCUACGAACAGCCAAAAUGUCCACUGGUUACUUGUGGUCGUAAACCCCAGAAGGAGGAGAUCCAGGUUCUUGAUUCACUUUUCCACUGUAUGGUACCCAAAGAAGUAAAUAACGUGGUGAGAAUUACAACAUAUUUAAUUAUAACAAAGGAUUUGACAUUGUAUGUAAGUAUUAGUCAUAGGCAACUUCUCAUCCUAUUGGGCUUGCAGGUACGUGGGAUGGAAGCACAUCUGAGAGCAGCGAGGUGAGUCAAUGGGAUAGAAAGCAAUGCAUGGGAAGACAUUAACGUGACGCAAUGGCCAGUACGGAACAUUAAUGUGCCAAAAGCCGAAAAAUAUUAUCUUUUGAUUUUGUUUUAGAUUGUUAAUAUCUGAAAUGCUGAUCUAACAACAUAAAAUGUUGUAGUUCUUGUUGUGCACUGUACAUGCUGAAGAACAUCAAAUUAUUUACGGGACUAAAACUGAGGAAGCAAUAUGACGAAGUACAUAGAGUAACACCUAAAAUUAAGUCAUUUUCUGAAACUUAUGGAACGAUACUAACAUAUCCUUGCAUGCAGGCCUACAUCAAGAAAUUCAGAAAAGAGCUACCUGUUGUGCUUGUCGAUUCACCCUACAACAAAAUGAUAUAUAGGAAUAGGUUCAAGCAAUACCAUGCUAGGCUAUUGGAUGUAGCUGCGGUUGAAGAUGACGAACAUGCAAGCAGUUAGUCCAGCAGUGUGGAGUGUACACUUGGCCAUAAAGCGAUAGAGUAGGGUGUGGUUGGGUUUUAGUCCCGAAGAAGGUUUCCUAGCCGUUUUCUUAGUCCAUUGCAAUGAGUCAAGUUGUAAAACUUCAAUAAUAUUGGUUACAAUAUUUUGCUUGAAAUAAAUUUGGUCUCUAUGGGAUCUCGUAGAAAUCUACAUUUGCUUUUUACUACCAUGUGACAGUAACAGUGCCUGGGCAAGAUUCGGACCAAUUACAGUGCACGGGCAACCCUAGAAGAAUAAUGGAUUAUGAUGUGUCUAUUUUCAUACGAGAGAAAAUGGUACGAGCAUGAGCAUAUCCUCACAACAAAAGAAAAAAUACUGCCUGAUUCAACACGCAAUCCCAGCUAUCCCAGAAAACGGCACAGUUAAUGUCUCAUAGGUAGGCCGCAAAGCCAAUAAAAUAGAGCAUAGGAUAACAAGAGUAAAGCACGUACCAUAGGGGGCCUCUGCAGGUGCUGCAACGCUGAAUUGAAGGGAUCACCUUCAGGAGCACAGUGGUGUGGCCAUGGUACAUCCAUCCUGCCUCACACUACAAGAAAUAUGCUCAAUUGUGACCUUCUGGCAGUGACCGUGGAAGAAAUCGUCAUAAAUCUAUGACCAUUUCGAUUCAAUUGGUCGUGGCCUGUUUAGGAGAGUCAAAACCAUAAACCAUAAUGGCUAUUUUGGUCAAAAAGGUCGUAAUUGCCUUACACAAAAUGGUCAUAAGCAGACAACAGUGGUUGACAGCAUUAUUUCUAGCUGAUUACGACCAAUCCAGAUGGUCAUGGUGUUGUAACAUGGAUGACUAGACGUCCACAUCACCAAUUUUACCUAUGUGUCGUGUCAUUUUGCCUUAUGUGUCGGUUGUAGCGUCUGUCCGUAAAUAGAUUGACUUGUUGACUAAACUGGGUCUACAUUUACAGACGGGGCCAACUAACAUAGUACAAAUGACAUGUGGGACCCAUCCCAUAGAGGUGAAUAAAGCAGAAAAAGGUGAAAAUUCACUUUGGCUCAUAGGUGUAUAUGCACUCAUUGUCUAAAUACAUAUUUUUAAAAAGUUUAAAAAAUUCGAGAAAAAAUCUUGCAUGUAAAUCCGGACACUAUAUGUUUGUGCACCAAGUUUCGAUGAAAAAUGACAUUUUUGUGGCUUGUGUAAAAAAGACAAUUUUCGAUGCUUGAACAGAGCAAUUCACAAGCCAUUUUUUAAAUCUUUUUACACAUGCAACAAAAAUGUCCUUGUUCACCGAAAUUUUGUGUGUGAACAUAGAAUAUCUGGAUGUACACACGAGAUUUUUUCUAUACAUAUUUCAUAAUAGGUGUAUAUACACCUAAGAGACAAAACGACACUCUCAAAGAAAAAAAGAACCGUCCCACAAAGGUGAAUAAAGCAAAAAAGAAACACCACCGCGCCAAAACGCCAAUCUCAAAGAAAAAAGGGCCCAUCCGACAAAGGUGAAUAAAGCAAAAAAGAAACCACACCGCGUUAUUCAAACUAGCAACCGGUCGAGUUUCCCUAAGGAACAAACCACCACACCAUAACAAAGAUACUGGUACAUACUUGCCCGCAACCUAUUUAAUGGGUUGUGUCGAGUGGGCUUGGGCCUUGGUUGGACAAGGGCACCUUUUUUCUUUUAUAUUUUUCGUCCACCGAGUGGGCCGACUACCGGGUUGCGGCUCAUUUUUUGGUCUAUUUUUGUUCGCUCAUUCUUUUUUUACUUUUUUUUAUUAUUUAUACUUCCAAUUAUUCUAUAUAUAUAUUGAAAAACUAACUUCACAUAAAACGUUUGAAAAAAUGUUAACCAAGCAUUGGAAAAUCUUACAUGUGUAUAAAGGAAAUGAUUACCGUAUGUACAAAAAGUAUACAAUGUGUGUGGAAAAAGUUGAUCAUGUAUUUAAAAAUGUUAAUCGAGCAUUUAUAAAAUGUUAAACAAUUAUCUGAAAAUGUAAAUCAAGCAUUUGAAAAUGUUAAAAUGUGUAAAUAAAAAAUAGUAACCAUGGAUUAAAAAUAUUAACCAUGUAUCGCCACCGUUCAAACCUCGAUGUCUCGCCACCAAAACAUGUACUGAUGAUUAAAUAGAUACUUAUGUAACUAGAAAUGAUUUUUAGAAACAAAAUAAAGAGAAAAUUAUGAGGCAGCUUGUCAGGACCCCGACUCGAUGUCACAUCGAUCUAGCUGGUAACACCUCAUAUCACUUUGCGGCCUCACGCACGGUAUUCCCACGGGUGUCGUCUUACCUUUUCCCGGGACCGUUUGCGCCUUUUGGCUCACGUAUAUGAUAGUGUCGCUAGCAUCCAUAUGAUAAAGAGCCCGGGCUGACAUGACUAGUCGUAAACCCAAAGCGGCACAGACUUACAGGGACAGGCAUCCAUGACCCAGCUUCGAACGUGUCGGUCAUCAGCAAGUGGGUCCGGGCUGUAGCACUGGACUAGCAGGACUCCGGUAAACCGGGCUGUAGCGGGCUAACAGGACUCCGGUACUCAAUGCGUGACAUUUCCCCGAAGGGACAGACACAGGAACGAAGAAGGACACAUGCCGGCCAGCCUAAGUGUUCCAGAGCAGUAGCAAGCUACCAUGGCUCAGCGGUAACACUAGGAGACAUUUCCCGGUAAGAGAGGCUACUAAAGAUAAACAACUAGAUAGUCAGAUCCCACACAUACCAAGCAUUUCAAUCAUACACACAAUAUGCUCGAUAUGUGCAAAUACAACGAAGCAUCACAACAUGACUCUACGACACAAGUACUUUAUUUAAGGCUCAGGGAGCCAUACAUAACAUACACAGAGGUACGGGUCUCAUGACCCCACAUACAAGUCAUACAGUCAUACAAACCAGCAGCGGAAAUAACUUGUCUGAGUACAGACAACUAGUAAAAUAAAAGGGGCUUGGAAAGCCUAGCUAUACUACGUGGUCCUCCACAAGCUCAGGGUCACCACCUGGGUCCUUAGCCUACUCGUUGAUGUCAACGUCUACAUAGAACCCAUCAGAAGGGGUUGCAGCGUCUUCUGUAAAAAUGUAGAUUAUAGCAACAUGAGUACAAAAGUACUCAGCAAGACUUACAUCAGAACCUACAUACAUGCAUAGUAUCAAGAAGGGUUGGUGGAGUUAUUGCAGCAAGCCAGCUUUGACUCUUGGCUAGGCUAUCCUACGAUACUCCUACUUGAAAUAGUUUUGCGCACACGAGUCCACUAUUCACCACUUCAAUACACUACCGAGGAUCCACCUCCGUCUUCCUACAGAAGAGCCAUCCUCGGCACUCACACUUAUCUUGAGGCUUUUAAUAGUAUCCAUUUACUUGUCUAUGAACUGUAUAGGCAACCAAGUAGUCCUUUACCGCGGACGCGGCUAUUCGAAUAGAUCAUGUUAACCCUGCAGGGGUGUACUUCGUCAUACAUGUUUCCACCACUUAGCGUCUGCACACGACAUGUGCUCGGCAGACUUCAAGCGAAAGCCGACGUGGGUGUAGACCACGACCUACCUAAACACUUAAGCCUCUAGUCCAGGUUUAUCGCCUAUUCAGGUUCCAUCCGCAGGGAGUCCGGCCGAGGUUUCCCAUACGGCCCCGAACGAUGUGAACAGGGUUCCCGAGAUACCUAACGGGUAUUCGGUACACCCGGCCACGUACCUACCGCAUCACAGCCCACCCCUACGGUCAGCGCUGUCCACGGCCUCCAGUAGGCUACAAACACCAGAAACUACUUGCAACUCCUGGACAGAGAGCUAGGGUGAAUAAGAAGUCGAGCGGGGUCAUAUUUUAGGGCCCAAUGUAUGGUAGUAGCUGAUUCUUAAAUCACACAUACAGAUCUCAGUGCUUAAGGUCGGCUUCAAUGAAACAACCCACCAUGUACUCCUACAUGGCCUCUCAUCGAUACCUUUACCAAAUCGUGUUCACCACACCACUCUCAUUACCGACAUAAUCAUUUCACUCUAGCCCAUCACCCAGAUGAACCAGACCUGACACGACUCUAAGCAUAGCAGGCAUAGCAAGGUAGGAACAACACAUACAUAUGGCUCAAUCAACUCCUACACAUGCUAGUGGGUUUCAUCUAGUUACUGUGGCAAUGACAGGUCAUGCAGAGGAAAUGGGUUCAACUACCGUAGCACACAGCAGUUUGAAUCGCGUUGUCUUAAUGCAGUAAAAGAGAGCAGGAGCGAGAACAUGGGAUUGUAUCGAUAUGAUCAAAUGGUUGGUUGCUUGCCUGAUGGUUCGAUGCACGGAUACGGUUCUUUGUUAGGGUAAUCACGGUACUCCUCGGGGACAGAACCUGUCGCAAAGGGCAUCGAUACACAAGCAUCACCAAACAAUGUGCAACAAUAUGAUGCAUGCAUGAAACAUGGCAAUAUGAGUGUAUUGGGCUAAUGCAACUAAAGCCAGAAGGGUUUGAACAAAUUUGACUCAAAGAUUCAAAUUUCAAAUUCAAAUAUGGCCUUUUAAAGUGCUUUUCCUUGUUCUGCUUGAAUCAUCAAUUUAACUUGUUUGAUCAUGCAUGAAAAUAGUACAGAUGGAUAGAUUGGAUUUUUCUGAUCAUUUUUCAUAUAUAAUUUGUCCAAUUUGGAGUUACAGAAUAAAAGUUAUGAAUUUUUGAAGUUUAAAUAAUAUUCUGGAAUUUCCUGAUUUAAUUUAAAUCCAGAAAAUUAAUUACUGCGUCAGCCUGACGUCAGUGUGACGUCAGCAGGUCAACUGCGGCUGGCUGAAGUCAAACCUGACGUGUGGGGGCCACACGUCAGUGACAGGGGGGGUUAAACAUAUUUAGAUUAAUUCUAAUUACUAAUUAGUGGCACUGGGGCCCACUGUCAGUGUCAGGGGGGUUGACUAACAGUAGUUAGCGCUAACCUAACCAUCUGGCCGACAGGGCCCACGCGUCAGCGACCCUGGGGGGUCAAACCCCAGGUCGGUCAAGUCAAACCCCACCGGCGACAUGACGCCGGCGAGAUCCGAGACGGCGGCGAGAGUGCUUUUUGCCAUUCCGGCGACCAAAUGGACGGCGGAAGGCAUCUACGUGUUGCUGAGGUUGAGCCGCGUCUAUUGGUGGUGGUGGUUGGGCUCGGGGUGGCCGGAGUUGACGGCGGCGAGCUCAGCGGCGGCGGCCGGAGUUCGGGUGCGGUCGGGAUCGGUGUUGCAGGGGGUUUGGGGAGGCGUUGGUGCGUUCUACGUGCUCCUGGUGAUGUGUGGAGCACGAUGGUGUGCUCGGUUGGGCGCUACGGCGACCGUGGCCACGACGGCGACAUCGCCGGCGGCGUGGAGCUCUCGGUCGAGGUGGAGCUAGGGACUAGAGGUCGGGAGAGACCAGGGAAGAAGGGGGAAACGCUCCGGGGGCUCACCGCGGUUGCAGUGGGCGUCGAAGCGGGCUCAGGGACGCGCCGGAGACGACGAAUUUGACGGCGAUGGUGGUCGGGGUCCGAAGAGGGGAACGGCGACGUGGCGGCGAUGCAGGGCUUCCGGAGACCCGUGGAGCGGUGGGGAGGAAGAGGGAGUUGUGGCGGAGCUUCUGAGCUAGUCGGGGGAGCGAGGGGUGGUCGGAGACGAUUGCUACGGCGAACGGUGGCGACGGUGGUGUUCGGCCGUGUGAGAGAGAGAGCGAGGGAGAGGAAGGAGAGAGCCGGGGAGAGUGAGAGAAAGCAGGGGGGAUCGGGACGGGCUGCGGGCGUCGUCCACGCGGCCAGGAGGGCGUCGGCAAGCAGGAGGUGGCCGCGCGGCCGUGCGCGCGCGAGCACGCAGCAGCUUCGGGGCGAGGGGAGGAAGACGACGGGGAGCUACAGUGCUGGGCUGGGUCGGUUGCUGGCUGGGCCGGCCAGCUGGCUGGGCCGCACAGGUAAGUUUUUCCCUCUCUUUUCUGUUUUCUGUUUUUAUUUAAUAUAUCUGCAACUUUGUUGAAUUAAAUAAAAUACCUAGGCACCUUCAAAAAUCACCAAACUAUUCCUGGCCCAUAGUUGGAUUAUUUCCAACAUGAAUCAUUUUAGUUUGGGGAUAUUUGAGCAUUUAAAUAUUUUAUAUUAUUUUAAAUGCCCAAAUUCAAAUAUUUAUGAUUCAAUUCAAAAACCCUAGGAUGGCCUAGGAAAAUGUGCACCAUUUUUGGCAGAGGUUCUGAACCAAGACAAAAAUGAUGGGCAUUUUAGAAGGGCAUUUCAGGUUCAUUGAAAAUUAUUUUAGUAAACCCUAGUUGGUUUCAGAGGGGACUGGGGGUUCUGUCAUCCCCAUUUCAAGUUUCUGAUGAAUGAGUAAACAUGAUGCAACACUCUAAUGCAUGACUAGCUAGGGUGUGACAACUCACCCCCACUCAAAAGAAUCUCGUCCCGAGAUUUGGGUUCCUCCGGAAAGAAGGCGGGAUACUCGAGUCGAAGACGAUCCUCCCUUUCCCAAGUUGCUUCAUCUUCAGAAUGGUGCGACCAUUGAACUUUGAGAAACUUGAUAUUAUGACGUCGGGUGGUACGCUCGGCCUGAUCGAGGAUACGAAUGGGGUACUCUCGAUAUGUAAGAUCAUCUUGGAGAUCAAGCGUUUCGUGGUCCACUUCACGGAUAGGAUCCGAGAAGCAACGCCUGAGUUGAGAGACGUGGAAGACAUCGUGAACUCUGGAGAGGUGCGGAGGUAGUUCCAAUUGGUAGGCAACUUCUCCUCGUUUGGCAAGAAUGCGAAAAGGUCCAAUGUAACGAGGAGCCAAUUUGCCUUUGAUACCGAAGCGAUGGGUUCCCUUCAGAGGGGUGACCCGAAGGUAAGCCUUCUCGUCAACCUCGAAAGUCAUAGCCUUAUGUUUUCGGUCAUAUUGACUCUUUUGACGGGAUUGGGCUGUUUUCAACUUUUCACGAACGAUACGAACUUGUUCUUCUGCUUCCUGAAUCAUAUCCGGGCCAAAGAAUUGUCUUUCCCCGGUCUCUGACCAGUUAAGGGGUGUUCGACAUCGUCGUCCAUAGAGAACUUCAAAAGGGGCUUUACCCAAGCUAGAUUGAUAGCUGUUGUUGUAAGCGAAUUCGGCAAAUGGAAGGCACUUCUCCCAGUCCAUUCCGAACGAGAUAACAGAGGCUCGAAGCAUGUCUUCUAGAAUCUGAUUGACGCGUUCCACUUGACCACUUGACUGAGGGUGGAAAGCGGUGCUGAAGGAGAGACGAGUUCCCAUAGCAUUUUGGAAACUUUCCCAAAAUCGAGAGGUGAAAAGACUUCCUCGAUCCGAGUUAAUUUCCAAAGGAACACCAUGGAGAGACACUAUUCGGGAGAUAUACAAGUCUGCCAGCUGACUAGCGGUUAUACUCUCACGAACAGGUAAGAAAUGAGCUACUUUGGAAAGACGAUCGACCACGACGAAGAUAGCAUUAUUCCCUCUUUUGGUUCUGGGAAAGCCGGUAAUGAAAUCCAUACCAAUUUUAUCCCAUUUCCAUUCAGGAAUAGCUAAGGGUUGAAGGGUGCCAGCAGGCCGUUGAUGCUCUGCUUUUACACGACGACAGACGUCGCAAUUAGCAAUAUACUGAGCGAUUUCUCUCUUCAUCCUAGUCCACCAGAACCUCUGGCGUAGGUCCUGAUACAUCUUAGUACUACCGGGAUGAAUGGUGAGAGGAGAUUCAUGGGCCUCCUUAAGGAUCAACUGCCGUAGAUGCUGGUUCUUGGGAACCACUAGACGGUUCUCAAAAUACACAACACCAUGAUCGUUAGUGGAGAAACAACUAGCACCUCCGCUAGCAAUGUUCUCUUUGAUUUUAGAUAUUCCCUUAUCUCGCUUUUGGGCAGCGAUGAUUUGAUCCGUAAGAGUAGGUUUUACUACCAAGGUGGAGAGAAAACCUUGAGGUACAAUGUGAAGGUUAAGCUUCCGAAAUUCCUCAUAGAGAAGCGGUUGACUUUGUUGUAACAUCAGGUUGUUACAAUAAGAUUUACGACUUAGCGCAUCAGCCAUGACGUUGGCUUUCCCUGGGGUAUAGGUUAUUCCUAAGUCGAAGUCAGUGAUCAAUUCAACCCAACGUCUCUGCCUGAGAUUCAAAUCCGGUUGGGUGAAAAUGUACUUCAGACUUUGGUGAUCGGUGAAUAUUUCGCAACGAUUACCGAGGAGGUAAUGUCGCCAGGUCUUAAGUGCAUAGACUACGGCUGCAAGCUCUAGAUCAUGAGUAGGAUAAUUCUCCUCAUGUGGGUGCAAUUGCCGUGAAGCGUAGGCAAUUACGUGUCGAUCUUGCAUGAGAAUGCAACCUAGUCCUUGUCGCGAGGCGUCGCAGUAGAUAACAAAGUCCUUGGAGAAGUCUGGCGGUACCAGCACGGGAGCAGAGGUCAGGCGUCUUUUCAGUUCCUGAAAGCUGUGCUCACAUUGUGGAGUCCAUUCGAACUUCUUAUCUUUCUUGAGGAGUUCGGUUAGAGGUUUGGCAACCUUGGAGAAGUUCUCGACAAAGCGACGACAAUAGCUCGCUAAGCCUAGAAAACUCCGAACUUGCUUGACCGAUUCAGGUGGUGUCCAAUCAAGGAUGGCUUGAACUCGCUCAGGGUUAACAGCAAUACCUUUACCAGAUAUUACAUGGCCCAGAUAGGUCACUUCUGAUAACCAGAAUUCACAUUUUGAAAAUUUGGCAUAAAGGCGAUGCUCUCGAAGUUUCUUCAACACUAGCCUUAAAUGUUCGGAAUGUUCUUCCUCGUUCUUGGAGUAGAUGAGUAUAUCAUCGAGAUAAACUACGACGAAUUUAUCCAAAUACUCCAUGAAGAUUGAGUUCAUUAACCGAGAAAAGGUGGCUGGAGCGUUGGUUAAACCGAAGGACAUGACGGUGUACUCGUAUUGGCCAUAACGAGUAACAAAGGCCGUUUUAGGAAUGUCCCCGUUUCUGAUUUUGAUUUGAUGGUAGCCCAACCUCAAAUCCAUCUUGGAGAAGACUGAGGAUCCAGCGAGCUGAUCAUACAGAUCGUUGAUCCUGGGAAGUGGAUAUUUGUUCUUGAUUGUGACCAAGUUGACAGGUCGGUAAUCUACAACCAUCCGGUCCGUACCAUCCUUCUUCUUGACGAAUAGGACGGGGCAAGCCCACGGAGAUGAGCUAGGUCGAAUGAAACCCUUUUUCAAGGACUCAUCGAGUUGUUUCUUAAGCUCGGCUAGUUCUAGGGGUGCCAUCUUAUAGGGUCUUCUAGCAAUCGGAACGGUUCCGGGGAUGAGGUCGAUUACGAACUCAACAUCCCUGUCAGGUGGAACACCUGGCAAUUCUUCUGGAAAGACAUCCGGGAAGUCACGGACUACCGGAACGUCCUCAAGGUCUGGCAAAGGGCUGGCGUUAAGAGAAUAUAAUUGUCGCUUGGCUAUUGGGGUCAAGACAUUGACUAUCUUCCCCGAAGGAUGGGUGAGUUGAACAGUCCUAGAGAAGCAAUCAAUUUGGGCAUGAUGGGCUGACAUCCAGUCCAUACCCAGAAUGAUAUUAAUAUCUGAAGAUUUAAGGGCUAUCAAAGAUGCAAGGAAAACAAGUCUGUCGACUUGGAUCUCAUUUCCAUAACUUACCCUAGAGGUCUGCCAUCUAGACCCAGGGGUAGAGAUUUCCAUAGUGGAUGGCAAGUCACAAAAUGCAAUGUUAUGCAGACGAGCAUAAUUUUCGGAUAUAAAAGAAUGAGAGGCUCCUGUAUCGAAAAGAACAGAUGCCGGGUGGCAAUUAACAAGAAGCGUACCGAGAACGACGUUGGGGUCCUCUUGAGCUUCUUCGGCAGAGAUACAGUUGACAUGGCCACGUGAAGCGGUGACCGGUUUGGCAUGGAACACCUUUCCUGUCGGCUUGCCACGGCCAACAGCUUUAGCAGAUUGAUUGGGGUUGGUCUGGGGACACUCACGCAUAUAAUGACCAGAUUCCCCACACUUGAAACAAGUCACGGAACUGGUACGUGGAGGAGCAUUAUUGGUUGGACCCCCAUAGGGCUUGGCUGGAGCAGACUGUUGUACAGGGCGAGGCGCCUGGAAAGAUGGCCUCGGUGUGAACCUGGGUGGCAGGGCGGUGUUGGGCACCCACACGCGGCGCUUCUGAGGACCAGCACCGGAUGAGGAACCCAUGUCACGUCCAUGCUUGCGUGUUGCGUCAUAGUCAGUCUGACCAGUUUCAGCACUGAUAGCUUUGUUGACAAGUUUCGAAAAAGAUGUGCACUCAUGCAGACGGAGGUCGCGGCGAAGCUCAGGACUAAGGCCCUUACGGAACCUUGCUUGCUUCUUGGCGUCAGUAGACACUUCCUCAGUUGCAUAUCGGGCGAGAUUACCAAACUCCCUGCUAUAGACAUCCACAGAAAGUCGGCCUUGGGUGAAAUUGCAAAACUCUUCACGCCUACGGUCCAUGAGACCCUCCGGAAUGUGAUGUUCACGGAAAGCCUCGCUGAACUCAGCCCAAGUAGUGACAUGGCCCGCUGGACGCAUAGCUCCAUAAUUCUCCCACCAUAGACUGGCGGGGCCUUCAAGAUGAUAUGCAGCAAAGGUGACCUUGUCAGCCUCCGCUACCAACGCAGAACGCAGUUUGUGAGAGAUACUGCGAAGCCAGUCAUCGGCGUCGAGAGGCUCGACGGAGUGGUGGAACGUGGGUGGAUGCAAUUUGAUAAAAUCACUGAGUGACACCACGUUAGCCCUCUGAUGGUGUGCUGUAUUCUGUUCUAUACGCUCCAACAAACGGUUUGUCUCCCGUUUGUUUCUCUCAGCUUCCAUCAUCACCUCGGCUAGUGAAGGAGGAUGAGGCAGAUUUUCAUUCCUGGCUUCACUGCCUUCGGCCUGCUCUUGGGAAGCAGGAUUAGCGCGCGUGUUGACCAUCCUAGGUAGACAAGACAAUGAUUUAGUCAGGAUGGUAAAAUUCCGACAUAGGAUACAUAAUGUAAGGAAUAACUCGAAAUGCAAGAUGAUCAUCCGUAUGACAUGGUAGAUCCAGAAACUGCUUCUUUAUUCCAUCGUCAUACACACCAUACAAGGUUUAGUACAAGACCAAACAAAGUACUAUUACGGUGAGAAAAGGAUUACAUCUCAUCGGAGGCAUUCCAAGCUCCUAUACAUUAUUUUUCUACACCCCCGGAAGGAGUACAAACUAGGUCAUAUCCCACGAGUCACGCAGGACGAUAGACAACACAGCUAGUGCGAACUAGUGAUACCGCUACUAACUCAGACCGAUCCGUAGUAGUCCUCGUAGAAGUCACCUCCAUAGCCUGGAAGCUCCACAUGUUCAUCCGGAAACAGACUGUCUCGCGGAGCUUGUGGUCCAUAGGGACUAGGAUGAGGUCGUGGACCAACAAACGGUGGCCUGCGGGGACCGCGAGGUGGGGUGAUGCCUCCUACAUCACGCCAAACCAUCACGUCUGGCAGAGCAGAUCUCACAGGAUAGAGAUCGCGCAUAUCUGAAUAUCCAGCUUGCACCACCGGUGCGAACCGAGUCAAAGUGGCCCAGUGAUCAGCACGGGUAUUGAAGAGCUCUAACCUCAAGGCCCGAUUUUCACGGUCCUUAUCCUCGAGCAUCUCAGCAGUGGUGCGAGUCCGUGAAUCCUCCUGAGUGGAGUCAGCAUAGAUAGCCUGGAGAUACCCUUGUGCUCCCGGAAGUGAUCCUGGCAUAUACCGGAAGUCAGAGUCCCGAAAUAGACCAGAUCUGACUCGCAUAAUGGUCAUCAUAGAGUAGGCGGCAUCCUGCACAGCCAUCUCAAUAGUAACCCCGAGUCCAUAGGAGCAGUGAAGAGGCUCGGUGGAUCCAGGAUAAGAUGGAAAUAUCCUGACAGUGCAGAGAUACUGGCUUUGGUUGAAGUCUCGGAAUUGCUCUUCGACCGUGUACUCAGGAUACCAACGAUAUCCAGCCUCAGUCAUUACCCUGACCAACUUAGCAGUAUGGCCGGGUACAUCUAGGCAUCGAGUCAGGCGAACCACUUGAUUGAGGUCGCGAGUGGCCAUCUGAAAGCACAAUCAUAAUGCAAGGGCAUUAGAAUUUCUAGCAAAAUUUCGGCAGCAUAACAGCUGUAAAUGCUCAAAAAGGAUUUUGAGACAUUUGACAAAGGAUUUCGUACACACUCAACAUCAUCAUAUCAAAGUUCUGAAACCAUUCUGGCAACAUGAUGUGGUAGUAGAACUGAACUAGGCUGGUAACCAACAAACUUAUAAGGUACUACUGAUUAGUAACUCGUGAUCCUGAUAGAGAGAAUCAGAUCCUAAUUCCUUAACCCCCGGUGGAAGAAUGGACUGACUCAGAUCAGAAAGUCAUAAGGUAUAAGGAGUAAAAAGAGCCUUACGUUCCAACCCACAAACAAUUCCCCUACAUAUAACUAAAGAAUUUCUAGACUCAACAUCGACCAGUUUGGCUUGGAGAACCUACAGGCAGUCCGGCUCUGAUGCCAACGCUGUCAGGACCCCGACUCGAUGUCACAUCGAUCUAGCUGGUAACACCUCAUAUCACUUUGCGGCCUCACGCACGGUAUUCCCACAGGUGUCGUCUUACCUUUUCCCGGGACCGUUUGCGCCUUUUGGCUCACGUAUAUGAUAGUGUCGCUAGCAUCCAUAUGAUAAAGAGCCCGGGCUGACAUGACUAGUCGUAAACCCAAAGCGGCACAGACUUACAGGGACAGGCAUCCAUGACCCAGCUUCGAACGUGUCGGUCAUCAGCAAGUGGGUCCGGGCUGUAGCACUGGACUAGCAGGACUCCGGUAAACCGGGCUGUAGCGGGCUAACAGGACUCCGGUACUCAAUGCGUGACAUUUCCCCGAAGGGACAGACACAGGAACGAAGAAGGACACAUGCCGGCCAGCCUAAGUGUUCCAGAGCAGUAGCAAGCUACCAUGGCUCAGCGGUAACACUAGGAGACAUUUCCCGGUAAGAGAGGCUACUAAAGAUAAACAACUAGAUAGUCAGAUCCCACACAUACCAAGCAUUUCAAUCAUACACACAAUAUGCUCGAUAUGUGCAAAUACAACGAAGCAUCACAACAUGACUCUACGACACAAGUACUUUAUUUAAGGCUCAGGGAGCCAUACAUAACAUACACAGAGGUACGGGUCUCAUGACCCCACAUACAAGUCAUACAGUCAUACAAACCAGCAGCGGAAAUAACUUGUCUGAGUACAGACAACUAGUAAAAUAAAAGGGGCUUGGAAAGCCUAGCUAUACUACGUGGUCCUCCACAAGCUCAGGGUCACCACCUGGGUCCUUAGCCUACUCGUUGAUGUCAACGUCUACAUAGAACCCAUCAGAAGGGGUUGCAGCGUCUUCUGUAAAAAUGUAGAUUAUAGCAACAUGAGUACAAAAGUACUCAGCAAGACUUACAUCAGAACCUACAUACAUGCAUAGUAUCAAGAAGGGUUGGUGGAGUUAUUGCAGCAAGCCAGCUUUGACUCUUGGCUAGGCUAUCCUACGAUACUCCUACUUGAAAUAGUUUUGCGCACACGAGUCCACUAUUCACCACUUCAAUACACUACCGAGGAUCCACCUCCGUCUUCCUACAGAAGAGCCAUCCUCGGCACUCACACUUAUCUUGAGGCUUUUAAUAGUAUCCAUUUACUUGUCUAUGAACUGUAUAGGCAACCAAGUAGUCCUUUACCGCGGACGCGGCUAUUCGAAUAGAUCAUGUUAACCCUGCAGGGGUGUACUUCGUCAUACAUGUUUCCACCACUUAGCGUCUGCACACGACAUGUGCUCGGCAGACUUCAAGCGAAAGCCGACGUGGGUGUAGACCACGACCUACCUAAACACUUAAGCCUCUAGUCCAGGUUUAUCGCCUAUUCAGGUUCCAUCCGCAGGGAGUCCGGCCGAGGUUUCCCAUACGGCCCCGAACGAUGUGAACAGGGUUCCCGAGAUACCUAACGGGUAUUCGGUACACCCGGCCACGUACCUACCGCAUCACAGCCCACCCCUACGGUCAGCGCUGUCCACGGCCUCCAGUAGGCUACAAACACCAGAAACUACUUGCAACUCCUGGACAGAGAGCUAAGGUGAAUAAGAAGUCGAGCGGGGUCAUAUUUCAGGGCCCAAUGUAUGGUAGUAGCUGAUUCUUAAAUCACGCAUACAGAUCUCAGUGCUUAAGGUCGGCUUCAAUGAAACAACCCACCAUGUACUCCUACAUGGCCUCUCAUCGAUACCUUUACCAAAUCGUGUUCACCACACCACUCUUAUUACCGACAUAAUCAUUUCACUCUAGCCCAUCACCCAGAUGAACCAGACCUGACACGACUCUAAGCAUAGCAGGCAUAGCAAGGUAGGAACAACACAUACAUAUGGCUCAAUCAACUCCUACACAUGCUAGUGGGUUUCAUCUAGUUACUGUGGCAAUGACAGGUCAUGCAGAGGAAAUGGGUUCAACUACCGUAGCACACAGCAGUUUGAAUCGCGUUGUCUUAAUGCAGUAAAAGAGAGCAGGAGCGAGAACAUGGGAUUGUAUCGAUAUGAUCAAAUGGUUGGUUGCUUGCCUGAUGGUUCGAUGCACGGAUACGGUUCUUCGUUAGGGUAAUCACGGUACUCCUCGGGGACAGAACCUGUCGCAAAGGGCAUCGAUACACAAGCAUCACCAAACAAUGUGCAACAAUAUGAUGCAUGCAUGAAACAUGGCAAUAUGAGUGUAUUGGGCUAAUGCAACUAAAGCCAGAAGGGUUUGAACAAAUUUGACUCAAAGAUUCAAAUUUCAAAUUCAAAUAUGGCCUUUUAAAGUGCUUUUCCUUGUUCUGCUUGAAUCAUCAAUUUAACUUGUUUGAUCAUGCAUGAAAAUAGUACAGAUGGAUAGAUUGGAUUUUUCUGAUCAUUUUUCAUAUAUAAUUUGUCCAAUUUGGAGUUACAGAAUAAAAGUUAUGAAUUUUUGAAGUUUAAAUAAUAUUCUGGAAUUUCCUGAUUUAAUUUAAAUCCAGAAAAUUAAUUACUGCGUCAGCCCGACGUCAGUGUGACGUCAGCAGGUCAACUGCGGCUGGCUGAAGUCAAACCUGACGUGUGGGGGCCACACGUCAGUGACAGGGGGGGUUAAACAGAUUUAGAUUAAUUCUAAUUACUAAUUAGUGGCGCUGGGGCCCACUGUUAGUGUCAGGGGGGUUGACUAACAGUAGUUAGCGCUAACCUAACCAUCUGGCCGACAGGGCCCACGCGUCAGCGACCCUGGGGGGUCAAACCCCAGGUCGGUCAAGUCAAACCCCACCGGCGACAUGACGCCGGCGAGAUCCGAGACGGCGGCGAGAGUGCUUUUUGCCAUUCCGGCGACCAAAUGGACGGCGGAAGGCAUCUACGUGUUGCUGAGGUUGAGCCGCGUCUAUUGGUGGUGGUGGUUGGGCUCGGGGUGGCCGGAGUUGACGGCGGCGAGCUCGGCUGCGGCGGCCGGAGUUCGGGUGCGGUCGGGAUCGGUGUUGCAGGGGGUUUGGGGAGGCGUUGGUGCGUUCUACGUGCUCCUGGUGAUGUGUGGAGCACGAUGGUGUGCUCGGUUGGGCGCUACGGCGACCGUGGCCACGACGGCGACAUCGCCGGCGGCGUGGAGCUCUCGGUCGAGGUGGAGCUAGGGACUAGAGGUCGGGAGAGACCAGGGAAGAAGGGGGAAACGCUCCGGGGGCUCACCGCGGUUGCAGUGGGCGUCGAAGCGGGCUCGGGGACGCGCCGGAGACGACGAAUUUGACGGCGACGGUGGUCGGAGUCUGAAGAGGGGAACGGCGACGUGGCGGCGAUGCAGGGCUUCCGGAGACCCGUGGAGCGGUGGGGAGGAAGAGGGAGUUGUGGCGGAGCUUCUGAGCUAGUCGGGGGAGCGAGGGGUGGUCGGAGACGAUUGCUACGGCGAACGGUGGCGACGGUGGUGUUCGGCCGUGUGAGAGAGAGAGCGAGGGAGAGGAAGGAGAGAGCCGGGGAGAGUGAGAGAAAGCAGGGGGGAUCGGGACGGGCUGCGGGCGUCGUCCACGCGGCCAGGAGGGCGUCGGCAAGAAGGAGGUGGCCGCGCGGCCGUGCGCGCGCGAGCACGCAGCAGCUUCGGGGCGAGGGGAGGAAGACGACGGGGAGCUACAGUGCUGGGCUGGGUCGGUUGCUGGCUGGGCCGGCCAGCUGGCUGGGCCGCACAGGUAAGUUUUUCCCUCUCUUUUCUGUUUUCUGUUUUUAUUUAAUAUAUCUGCAACUUUGUUGAAUUAAAUAAAAUACCUAGGCAACUUCAAAAAUCACCAAACUAUUCCUGGCCCAUAGUUGGAUUAUUUCCAACAUGAAUCAUUUUAGUUUGGGGAUAUUUGAGCAUUUAAAUAUUUUAUAUUAUUUUAAAUGCCCAAAUUCAAAUAUUUAUGAUUCAAUUCAAAAACCCUAGGAUGGCCUAGGAAAAUGUGCACCAUUUUUGGCAGAGGUUCUGAACCAAGACAAAAAUGAUGGGCAUUUUAGAAGGGCAUUUCAGGUUCAUUGAAAAUUAUUUUAGUAAACCCUAGUUGGUUUCAGAGGGGACUGGGGGUUCUGUCAUCCCCAUUUCAAGUUUCUGAUGAAUGAGUAAACAUGAUGCAACACUCUAAUGCAUGACUAGCUAGGGUGUGACACAGCUGCAGUUCAAAUUUGACCCUCUUCCUGCUGAAUCGGCGGAAAUUUGUCUUUUUCAACAGAUGUGGAUCAAGAGCUUUGGACACCCAAUCAUUUUAUCAAUUGUGUAUUAAAUAUGGCCUAGUAUUUUAUAAAAAUGAUUUGGUCCAAAUUUUCAACAAAUGUAUGGUAGGUCCUUCACACAAAAAAACUCAUUUUGGGCACUCGGAAAAUGGAAAUGAUGUUUUUGUCCAAAAAAACGAAAAAAUCCUUAGGCAACAUUGUUUGCCAUUCCAAUAUGCACCCUUGUACAUAAUAUUAGAUCAUUUGAACAAACCAGGCCAUGAAUGUGGCCAUAAGAUUGAUCAUUUGUCUUGAAAGCCAUUGAUCUCCACACAUGAUAGCUCGUUUUAUAGAACACUUUUUAAAAAUAAUUAUCGUAUUACAAGUUUAUUAUUUUUCCUGUUAACGUGUCCACAUAUAAUGACACAAUGCGAAGGUUUUCCAUUUUUUUUAUUUUUUUUUGAAUUAUUUAUGCCCGUUUCAAAAUGCGGUCAAAACGGCGGGCUUGACCGUUCCUAGCUAGUGGUUAAAUCUUGGAAAACUUUUGGUGUUUCUCUGAUUAAAUAGAUACUAUUGUACCUAAAAAUGAUUUUUGGAAAAAAUAAAGUGCAAACUAUGAGGCAGUUGCAAUUCAAAUUUGACCCGCUUCCAACUGAAUCGGCCUAAAUUUGUCUUUUUCACAAGAGGUGGAUAAAAGCUUUUGAAACCAAACCAUUUGGUCAAUUGUGCAUUAAAUAUGGCCUAGUAUUUUAGAAAAUUGAUUUGGUCCAAAUUUGCAACAAGUAUAUGGUAGGUCCUUCACAAAAAAAACUCAUUUUGAGCACUCGAAAAAUGGAAAAUGACUGUUUUGUCCAAAGAAAAUGAAAAAUUCCUUAGGAAACAUUGUUUGCCAUUCCAAUAUGCACCCUUGUGAACAAUAUAAGAUCAUUUGAACAAACUAUGCCAUGAAUGUGGCCAUAAGAUUGAUCAUUUGGCUUGAAAGCCAUUGAUCUCCACACAUGAUAGCUCAUUUCUGAGAACACUUUUUUUAAAUAAUUAUCGUAUUACAAGUUUAUUAAUUUUUCCUGGUAACUUGGCCACAUAUAAUGGCACAAUGCGAAGGUUUUCCAUUUUUUGUUUUUUUUUUGAAUUUUUUAUGCCCGUUUCAAAAUGCGGUCAAAACGGCGGGCUUGACCGUUUGUGGCUAGUUGUUGAAUCUAGGAAACUUUUGGUGUAUCUCUGAUAAAAUAGAUAUUUUUGUACCUAAAAAAUGAUUUUUGGAAAAAGUAAAGAGCAAACUAUGAGGUAGCUGCAGUUCAAAUUUGACCCGCUUCCAGCUGAAUCGGUAGAAAUUUGUCUUUUUCACGAGAGGUGGAUAAAAGAUUUUGACACCAACCAUUUGGUCAAUUGUGCAUUAAAUAUGGCAUAGUAUUUAGAAAAUUGAUUUGGUCCAAAUUUGCAACAAAUAUAUGGUAGGUCCUUCACAAAAAAACUCAUUUUGGGCACUCAGAAAAUGGAAAAUGAUUUUUUUGCCCAAAGAACAUGAAAACUUCCUUAGGAAACAUUGUUUGCCAUUCCAAUAAGCACUCUUGUGCACAAUAUGAGAUCAUUUGAACAAACUAUGCCAUGAAUGUGGCCAUAAGAUUGAUCAUUUGGCUUGAAAGCCAUUGAUCUCCACACAUGAUAGCUCGUUUUUGAGAACACUUUUGAAAAAUAAUUAUCGUAUUACAAGUUUAUUAUUUUUCCUGGUAACUUGGUCACAUAUAAUGACACAAUGCGAAGGUUUUCCAAAUUUUUUAUUUUUUUGACUUUUUUAUGUCCGUUUCAAAAUGCGGUCAAAACGGCGGGCAUUACCGUUCGUAGCUAGGGGUUGAAUCUUGGAAAACUUUUGGUGCAUCUCUGAUAAAAUAGAUACUUUUGUACCUAAAAAAAUUUUGUUGCAAAAAAUAAAGAGCAAACUAAGUGACGAUUGUAGUUUAAAUUUUACCCAUUUUCUGCUGAAUCAACAGAAAUUUGUCAAUUUGAUGGGAGGCUGAUAAAAAGUUUUUUACACACAAUCAUCUCGUUAAUUGGACAUAAAUAUGGUCUAAUAUUUUUGAAAAAAAUGGUUCCAUUUUCAAUAAAUAUUUGAUAGGUUAUUUACAUUGGUGAAAAAAUAUAAGAGAAGAGCUAACUAUCACUGAAAGAAUGGCUCUCCACCACCUCUCCUCUCCCUCCCACCUCCACCUGACCUCCAUCAACAAUGGCGGCCUCUAAUCCUAGGAAUCAUGGAUGUUCUUCUCCAUUGGGACUUUGCCCGGGGCUUAGCCCUUGCAGAUCAGGUGAGACACAGGUUUGGCACGACGGUCCAUUUUUCCUCUUCCCAAGGAUCCAAGGAAUUCUUUCUGGUGGUUACAUUCUCUUCUGCAUCCUUUCCUCUCUCGGUGGAAUCUGUUGGUAUUGAUUUGCAAUGUGUCUUGGGGGUUCAAGUUCUGGAUUCCAUGUUGCCAAGAUCAAGGAUCGUACAUUCCUUUUUUCUGUUGCAAGCAACAAAGUUGGACAUUUCAUUUAUGGUUUGAAAGAUCGAGUUUGGCCAGACUUUGUUUGUCAUUUCCAUCUCUUUAACGGCCGAUAUGCUCGAGCUCCUGUCUAUGUCUACUCCUGGCAUGCGAAUCAAGAAAUUUUAGACAUCUCUUCUCGGUCUCCCGUUGCGGUCAAGACCAACCUUCGAUCCAGCUCUCUGUCCAUUGCAUCAGGAUCCCCGUCUGCUCAGGUCCUUGGCAAAUUCAACAUUUCUCCAAUUGACAACAUGGUUUUUUCAAACAAGAGUUCUAGUGAAGCUUCAUCUUCUGGUCAGAUGCUUCUUCAUUCGAAUUUUGAUGAUCCCAUGAUUCCGCCUCGUAAUCUGGCUACAUCACAGGCUAUGGGUUCAGAUAUUCAAUUAAUGCAGCAUUUCCUCAGACAUGAGCAAUUGAUGGGCAAUCAUCCCGCAGAUUUUAUUCUCCUGGGCAGCUUUAAAUGCUUACUUCACGUCCAAUACCCACCAUUGCCCCAGUGUUUUCUUUCCUCUGCGUUCAAAUAUGUGCCACCACAUGAGUUUUGGCCUCCAACACUUAGCAACCAGCACAAGGCCGAUCUGGCCCAAGCCCACUACUCCUUGCAGGAUAUUACGGAACUAAAUACCCAAUGGGCCUCGCUCUGCUCUAAGUGUCUGCAAUGGGGUCAUAAAAAAUUUGGUUGCCACGCACGCCUAAUAUGUAUUAAUUGCUCCGCGCCUUACCACAAGGCAAUCAAUUGCCCCAAAUCUGCUUCAACGACGCAUACUUUUGACCAUGUUGGUGCUCGCCUGGGGAAUCAAAUCAUCUCCACCGCCUCUCCCGCGGAUCUGGCCUCCCUUCCCAUCAAUCAGCAUAAGAGAUGCACCGUCAGAUGUCAAUCGUGCGGCUUCUAUGGACACAUGGCGCGGCAAUGUUUCCAGGGACGGAAAGCGCAAAAUGGAAAUGGAUUCCUAAAUCCACUCGACUUAUCGAUUCUGCCCCUCAUGCUCCGCCUUCCACCUCAAUUGCCCAAACGCCUCACCCCAGUCUGCAGCCCACCUCCCCUGUCACCAAUGCCAUCACUCUUCAUCACUCGCCAUCGACGCCUACACCCACUCCGUUCUCCGCCAUGGCUAACUAUCCGCUCAACCCUGUCCCCUUCCUGCCGCCUGGGUUCGCGGUGGAGCCUGGACCUGUGGACCAUUUGGUCAGGUCUGGGAUGGUGGUCGGCCUGAUUGCGCCGCUCAACCAUGAUUUCUUGGCGAUUAGGGAAGCCAGUGCGUAUGUUCCUCUGCAUCGUCGGGCUGUCGUUCGGACUGCUAUCAAAGGUUUGCUGCAUGAAGCCCACCUCUUUACCACUGAAGCUAGUGAUCACCCACUUGGUAUUCGGAUCUUUGGUUUUGCAAGCUCGUUCUUGAGGGAUACGGCUGUCAACACCCCGUUAGAACUAGAAGAGGAGGAUUUGCUUAUCACUUUUGUGCCUCACAACGAAGCUCUCAACAGACGCACCACCUCCUUUGGUCUAGAGAUUUGGUUGAUGUUUUUUGGUUUCCCCUAUUAUUAUCAAACGGAUUAUUACAUCACUAAGGCUUUAGGGGGUUAUGGCUCUCUGGUUCAUUAGUACAAUCCCCACCAAGAUAGGAGGUAUAUGCUGAUCGAAGCACGUGUGAUCCGCCUGAAUCUUAUGCCCAAGAGUUUUGUUGUCUGGCAGCUUGGAGGUGCUAGGGAUUGCUGGACGGUUCAGGUAUCUAUCUUGAGAAGUAAUGACUGGAAUGGUUUGUUACCUGAAGUGUUGCCUCCUAACAAAGAACCACCUCCCGCUGAUGGCAACCCGCAUCCGCAGUUCGGACCUGAACUUACUGCUGAGCAGCUCUAUCAGCAGCAGGUUCAUAAUUGGUUGGUACACAGUGUUGCCCCCAAUUACCCUGUUCAUAGCAAUGCUGAUGCACCAAACCAAUGCUGGGCUCCUUGGCCUCAACCUCCUGCUCCUCCUAUGCCACAUCACCUAAUGAAUUAUCAGGCCUGGCUAGCUUCUCAGGGCUUAACUGUUAUGCAUGGAGUCGUUCCUGACAACAAUGUCACUGACAAUCCUAUGCAAGCUUGGAAUGAGGCUGUUACCACUUCAUCUGAAUAUACUUCCUCUGAAGAUUCUGCUACCACUGAGUCAGACCUGAUCAUUCUGCCUGCGACAUCUCCAGGGAUUAUUGGUUCUGCCCCGGUCAACCAGGUGAUUAACACUGUUGCUUCUGAGGUGGUCACCAUCUCCAUGGAUAUUCAUGACCAAGGUAUGCGUUUUGGAUUAUCUGCCCAAGAUGACUCUCUCUUGGAUAUCCUUCUGUCCAAUCCCAUACCCCAACAGCAACUCAACACUAUUCUUUUCAAUGCUAUUCGUCCUCUGCUUGCUACAAGGGGUCCAUGGGCUUCUGGUUUUGGGUUCAGACAAGAUGUUCUCCACCUUGAGGUUCAGGUGGCUGCUAGCCCCACAGGCCUUCAAUUUACACAACACAAUUUGCUUGCUCCGGCCACUCAUUCGGCUGUGAUCAUUGAGGAAAUUUCUGAUAGCCCGCCAAAUCUGUUGGACAGAACAUGCAGAAGAUUCAGGGUUCCAUGGAAGUUUCUGGAGCUGAGGGUUCUAAUACUGUUGUUGGCUCUGCUAUUGUCACUAUCACUACUGAUUCCCUCCAUUUGAGGUCUGCUACGGAUGCUGAACCACCUCUCACUGACCUGGCUGCUUACCACUCUGAAACUCAGACCGGUCUGCUUCAGAUUGCGACAGCUGCAAUCUCUGAACCUUCAAUCACUGCUGUUGGUUCCUCAGCUCACAAAAGCAAAGGGAAAGUGCCAGCUCCCAUUGACACCUCAACUCUCCGUCGCAGCAACCGUACUAAUAAGUAUGAUGGCUUCCACACCAAUUCUCUUUGUGAAGCUAAGGCCUCCAAAUCCAAAGUGAAGCCGCGUACUAUUACUUCGGCUGCUUCUCUGGACUCUGCAGUUGCUUCUUCCACUCAGAUGCAGAAUGAAGAACUCCCUCCCCCAACUGACAUUGCCACAAUACAAGCCAUUGGCACAAAUCUAUGUGCCAUCCCGAAGGAGGAGCUCACUAUUGCUGAACUCACUAAAGACCCGACGGGGACUUCUUCAUCGUCCGGAGCUUGGUUUCUUUCUUUAUUCCAUCGUUUAAUGGUUCUUUUGCAGUCAUGAAACAUUCUAUGUUGGAAUAUUCGCGGUCUUAAUUCGGACAGAAAACGCUUAGCUCUAUCUAAUUCGAUCCAGUCCAGUGGAUGUGCGAUUAUCUAUCUCCAAGAAACUAAAAUGCCAACGUUUGAUGCUACCACUCUCAAAUCGCUCUGCCCUAAAUGUUUUGAUAGAUACGCGUAUAUCCCGUCCGUUGGCGCGUCGGGGGGAAUUGUCACGAUCUGGAAUAGUGCUCUUUUCACUGGUACGGUCACUUUUGAGGAGCAAUUUGCGUUAGGCAUCACUUUCACUUCCACCCAAAAUGCGCAUCCCUGGACUCUGAUUAAUAUCUAUGGCCCGUGUCAAGGGGAGCAGCGUAAUGCAUACACUCAAUGGUUGUUUGACCUCUCCAUCCCGUCUUCUGAAGACUGGCUUCUGCUGGGUGAUUUCAACUUCAUUUGCUCGCCUGAAAAUCGUAAUCUACCAGGAGGGAACGUUCAGGAUAUGUUUACAUGCAAUGACUUCAUCCGAGAGCAAGAUCUAACUGAACUUCCCAUUAAAGGUCGUGCUUUCACUUGGUCUAAUAUGCAGCUUAAUCCUCUGCUCGAACAACUAGAUUGGUUCUUCACCUCGCUAAAUUGGACGACGUCUUUUCCUAAUACUAUGGUAAACCCAUUGGGCCGCCCAGUCUCUGACCAUAUACCCUGUUCUGUGGUCAUCCAAUCAACGAUACCCAAGAGCAGAAUCUUCAUAUUUGAAACCUAUUGGAUUUCUUACCCAGGUUUCCUGCAUGUUGUUGAGGAAGCUUGGAACAAGCCUCUUAAAUUUGGCAAAGAUAAAAAUGCCACUUCUAUCCUCUGCCAAAAACUUAAAGCUGUACGUUAUGCUUUAACCCACAGGAGCAAAAAGAUCUCCCGCCUCAAGAUUGCACUCGAAAAUUCAAACAAAGCCCUGCUAGAGCUUGAUAGUAUUGAAGAGCAUCAUGCCCUCUUGGUUCCUGAACGUAACUUCAGAAACAUUCUCAAAAAGCACCUCCUGCGUCUUCUUAGUUACCAAAAGGAAUACUGGAAGAAGAGAUGCACAAUCCGUUGGAUCAAGUUUGGAGAUGAAAAAUCAAAAAUUUUCCAAUCUGUAGCCACGGAAAGAUUCAGAAGAGACUGCAUUGCUACCUUGAAAACUGAGCAAGGGACUGUUGUUGAGGAUCAUGUUGGCAAAGAAGCUAUUCUGUUCCAAAGCCUUCAAACAAAGGCUGGGUUCAUGCUUGGAACCAAACAUGAAGUUUAAUCUCUCAUCUUUGCUCCGACAGCAAGUUGAUUUUGAUAGCCUCACUACCCCGUUCACACAUGAUGAGAUUGAUGCUAUGGUUAAGGAGAUGCCCCCGGACAGAGCACCGGGGCCUGAUGGCAUUAAUGGAGCCUUCUUCAAAGCAUGCUGGCCUAUCAUUAAAAAUGACUUCUACAACCUGUGCAAUGAAUUUCAUAGAGGGGAUUUGAAUCUUGAUUGCUUAAACAAUGGCUAUAUCACCUUGAUCCCAAAGAACUCCUCUCAAGAGACGAUCAAUGACUUCCGCCCGAUCACUUUGUUAAACUGUUGCCUUAAACUGAUCACAAAACUGCUGGCCAAUCGUCUUCAAAAGAUCAUUUUGCAAAUAGUCCACCGUAAUCAGUACGGAUUCUUACGUGGUCGCUCCAUACAUGACUGUCUUGCAUGGGCUUUCGAAUACAUUCAACAGUGUCAAUCUUCGCAAAAGGAGAUAAUCUUGCUGAAGUUGGAUUUCGCCAAAGCCUUUGACACUAUUGAACACUCUGUUAUGCUCCACAUUAUGAAAAAGGUCGGUUUCAAUGACAAAUGGCUUCAUUGGAUUCAAUAUAUCUUCACUUCCGGUAAAUCUUCGGUCUUGCUCAAUGGUACUCCGGGGAAAUCUUUCCUAUGCAAAUGUGGCGUACGACAAGGUGACCUGCUUUCGCCCCUGAUCUUUGUCAUCGUUGCGGACCUCCUACAGUCUGCAAUCAAUGAGGCACUUAGAGAUAACCUCCUGGAAUUACCCAUUCGACGCAACACUAAUGGAGACUACCCCGUUAUCCAGUAUGCGGAUGACACGCUCAUCAUCAUGCCAGCCUGCAACCGCCAAACUGCCAAGAUUAAGGAAAUCCUGGAGGAUUAUGCCACGUCCGUUGGACUCAAGAUCAACUUCCAUAAAUCCACACUUGUGCCAAUUAACAUGCCUCCUGAGAAAUGCAAAGAACUGGCUGAUUUGUUAGGUUGCAUUGUGGGCUCCAUGCCGUUCACAUACCUUGGCCUGCCCCUAGGCACCACUCGUCCAAACGUCCAAGAUUUGGCUCCUCUUGUUUGUAAAGCAGAAAGAAAACAUUACGGCUGCUAUGUCUCUAAUGUCGUAUGCGGGGAAACUUGUUCUCAUGAACUCGAUGAUCACCUCCCUUAUCAUGUUCACAAUGGGCACCAUUCGUCUCCCACCCAAAAUUCUUGCUCAACUUGACAAGAUCAGAAGACACUGCCUAUGGCAAAAACGGACUGACGAUGGGAUUAAGAGUAACUCUCUUGCUGCUUGGAAUAUGGUCUGCACGCCAAAGAAAAAUGAUGGUCUAGGUUUUAUUCACCUCCGAAUACAGAAUGAUGCCCUGCUACUCAAGUUUCUCCACAAGUUUUAUAUCAAGCAUGAUAUCCCUUGGGUCCAUCUAAUUUGGAAAUCGUACUACGGUGACACCAUUCCACAUGCUCAUGAUUCGUGUGGCUCCUUCUGGUGGAAGGAUUUAACUAAUCUAAUGCCCACGUAUCAGGGUGUGACACGCAUAAAAAUUGGUAAUGGAUCUUCUGCACUGUUCUGGAAAGAUAAUUGGAGUCAGUCCAUAUAUGCUGAAACUUGCCCGAGGGCCUACUCGUAUGCCAUUCUUGAAGACAUCUCAGUUAAACAACUCCUGACAUCCACCGACUUGCAUGAAACUUUCCAACUCCCACUCUCUAUUCAAGCAAGGGACAAGCUGCGAUCCAUCCAAGCUGACGUGGCCGGACUCACUCUUACGGAGGAUCAUGACACUUGGCAAUGUGUAUGGGGGGGGGAAUUCUUUCAAGACAUCCUCAUAUUACAAAUUUUAUUUCAGAGAUGUGACUGCCCAUGAAGCUUUUGGCUGGCUAUGGAAAGCAAAAUGCACUCCCAAGAUUAAGACCUUUGGGUGGCUCCUACUCGUUGAUCCUCUCAACACCAGAAACAUGCUCAAGAGGAGACACUACAACAUUGGAACCAAUUUUGACUGCCUCUUGUGUGGCCAACAUAUAGAAGAAACGGUGGAACACCUAUUCUUUCACUGCACCUUCAGUCAGGAGUGCUGGAGAUCUUUGGGUUUCACCUGGACCAUGCAUCAUGACGGACUCAAUAUGAUCAAACAUCAAAAAACCACGCAGCCCAGAAAAAUGUGGAUGGAUAUCUUCUUGACGUCAGCCUGGAGUCUCUGGAAGGAGCGCAACAACAAUCACUUCAGGAAGAUCAAGCCUUCGGUCACAUCCUGGAAACAGAGAUUUUAGUUGGAUUUCUCCAAUCUUAGAUAUAGAGUGAACCCCUCCAAAGAGCACAUUAUUACUGCUUUACUUGACUCCAUACAAUAGGUAUUUUGCACCUUCUGGUGCAUUUGUGUGUUGCCCUAACCACCCCCACCCCCCUCACCCCCUGCAUGUAACACAAACAUGUAAUUAUACCCCCCGUUUUGGUACUAUAUAUGCAGUAGGAACCUUUCCUACUGUCUUCAUAGUCAAAAAAAAUAUAAGAGAAACAAAAUAAGAAACACAAUUACCUGCGCUUAAUUCUCAUUUGUGGAGACGUUUGUGCCAUGGAUCGAUGACAUUGCACAGAUCCAUCCAUCCAUCUAUCUCCGCAUACCACAUCCAUCCACCCAUCCACCCCUAAAAAAAUCAUUCAUCAGCUCCACCCCACCGCAAACCCAUCUCUGUCUCCACCCCUCCUCCCUUCCCCUUCCAGAUCGCUGCCGCCGAUGCAUCCCCAUCAGCUCCACCGGUGAGCCCUCGCAUCCAUGGCCUCCCCCACGCCCUUCCUCACCGCAUCGCCACCUGGACCCCCUCCCUUCCUCACCGCAUCGCCACCCCAAGCCUCCACCGAUGGAACCCUAACCCUACCCCAGCGAUAACAGCGUUGCGGCUGGCUUGCUCGCCGGCACGUGUGUGCGUGCUUCGAUGCGCGAUGCCCCAUCGAGCUGGCCGGCGGCGGCGAGGGCGGCAACAAGGGCCCGGGGCAGGGCGGUGGCGCGGUUCAUGCAGACCAGGCACCGCUCCUCCGGCAAGGUGCUUGGCGAGGAGGAGAACACCACCGAGAAUGUCUACAUCAAUGUAUAACACCCCCGCCCUGUCCCCCUCCCUCCCUCCUCCCACCCCGGUGUGAGAUGGCUCCUCGUGGAUGCGAUGUGGUGCGACUUUGUCUUGUCUGGUCCGUCCCGCGGAUCUUGGGCUAGGGUUCCGGGCGCACUCCGCACUUGAUGAUUUCUUGCCUAUUGUCUUGUGGAUUUCCUGCUAGUUGCAUAUCUGCACUUCACUGUACGUAUGUCAUGUUGGAUCUCAGUCCAGAAUCCAUAUCCAUAGCUUGUAUUGCAACUAAUGUGUCAUGCGUUCUGUGGCAGCAGCAGCAGCUAGUAGGAACAAUCCUCUUGCCGGCAACUAACUGCAUGCAUGCCUCUGCUUUGGUCUUAUUGCAUGUGAGCUCAGUUGUGUCCGUUAACGCAGUGUAGCUCUUCUGUUCGUGUAGAUUUGGGGUUGGGGAGGGGGAUCUUUGCCAACUUAAAUUACUUUUAUGUGCUCAUCGAAUUGGAUGGUUGCUCUGGUGUGAAUCAUACUAGUAUGCACUAGCAGCAAUCUAUCAAUGUCUGCUACUGGAAAAUCCUCGAUAUCUUUUCCAGUUAUGCUUGCUACUAGGGAAUGGUUGCUCCUUUCAUCAUUGUGGUCGCCCAUGUUGUAUCAUGUGACGAGCGAUGAACCCUAGGAAGGGGGAUCGAUCGCACAGGGAAGGGGAUCGGGUGAGAGAGGAAGCAGGUAGGUGAGGAGAGAAGGAAAGGGGAUGAGAGAAUCCAGAUCGUAUUUCAUUUCCUACCUCUCUCGUUUGCGGCCACCACUUAAGUACAAGUCCCCAAACACACACGCUGGCCACAAGCGGCCCACUACAUCCACUGGGCUCUGGCCCAUACACUCUCAUCCCCUAUCUAGUCCACUAAUGUACUCACAUCAGGUGUGACAUUCGCCCCUCCUUGAGCGGAAGCGUUGUCUUCAUCCCAGCAAGGAGCCAUUGGGUAACGGUGACGCGGCAUGGAGUAAUCUUCCCAGGUUGCAGAGUCUGGCGACAAUGAAGACCACUGGACUUGAACCUGCAGCACCGAGGAGUUACGUUUCUUGACGAGGUGAUGGGUGAGGAUGGUAAUGGGCUGCAAUGGAGCAGCAGUGAGGUCUGGAGUGCGUGGUAGCCCGGAGAAGACUGGAGAGUAAUCUGGUGUGAACGGCUUGAGCUGGGAUACAUGAAAAACCGGGUGAAUGUGACUGUCCUCUGGAAGUGCCAACUUGUAAGCCAUGGUGCCGAUGCGCUGCUCGACGGUGAAUGGCCCAAAGAAUUUGUAUGCCAACUUGGGACAGGGGCGGUUGGCGAUAGUUGAUUGAGUGUAGGAUUGUAGCUUGAGCAGAACUUUUUCUCCCACUUGAAAGGAACGCUCGGAGCGGUGCUUGUCGGCCUUCUGCUUGCACCGAUUCUGCGCGCGAGAGAGCUAGGCACACAACCUUGUGUGGUGUGUCGCCCAGUCGAACUCUAUUCCUGCAUCUUCAGGUAAGUUGGUGGCCAAGGUAGGCAAACCUUCCAGGUUUGGUUCCUGUCCAUACAAUGCUUGAAAUGGUGAAGUAUUGAGGGAGCAAUGGUAGGUUGUGUUGUACCAGAACUCCGCGGUUGACAGCCACUUGUGCCAUUGUUUGGGUGUCUCGUGGACAGCACAACGAAGAUACAUUUCAAGGCACUGGUUCACCCGCUCACUUUGCCCAUCGGUCUAAGUAUGGUAGGUCGUGGAGUAACUCAAUUUUGUACCAGCAACAUCAAGUAUUGCCCGCCACAUCUUACUGGUGAAAACACUAUCUCUGUCAGAGACGAUGGAAUGGGGCACUCCGUGCAACUUGAGGAUGUUGUCCUAGAAGGCAUGCGCGACGGUAGUAGCAGUGUAUGGGUGACAAAGUGGCACAAAGUGCACAUACUUGGUGAACCGGUCGACGACCAUGAUCACCUCGUAUCCAUCGGAUGGCGGCAAGCUCUCGAUGAAAUCCAUCGUCAAAUCCUUCCAUGGCUGAGUGGGUAUUGGUAGUGGCUGAAGCAGACCCGGCGUCCGGAUAUGUUGAGAUUUCGCAUGUUGACAGACUGCACACUGUUUCACAAAAUCUUCCACAGCUGGUUUGAGACCACGCCAAGUGAAUUGUUUCUUGAGGCGUUGAUAAGUGGUCGUGACUCCUGAAUGUCCUCCCACCGCGCUCGCAUGGAACGCACUGAUCAGCUUGGUCUGUAGGGCAGUGUUUGCUCCGAUCCAUAGUCUGCCAUGAUGGCGAAUCACCCCUUGCUGUAGCUCAUAACCUUGGUCGUCUGGACUGCAAAGGUCCAACCGCUGCAACAUGGCUUGCGUGUCGGGAUCUGUCUCAUAAGAGUUAGCAACCUCUCGAAGCCAUUGGGGCUGACAGACAGAUAGUGCUUCGACAAACAGUAAGUGGCCGACGCGGGACAAGGCAUCAGCCGCGCCGUUGUCUUGGCCCCAGCGAUAUCUGAAGGAGAACUCUAACCCCACCAUCUUUGACAUAGCCUUGCGCUGAAGCUCUGUUUCCAACUGUUGAUCUCCCAAACUGCACAAACUUUUGUGAUCAGUGAUAAUGACGAAGGGGGCUCUCUGCAGAUAGGCACGCCAUUUGUCCAUGGCCAUGAUGGCAACAAGAAACUCUUUCUCAUAGAUGGACAGACGCUGAUUGCGGACCCCUAAUGCCUUGCUGAGGUAUGCCACUGGGUGACCAUCUUGGACCAGCACCGCACCCACUCCGGUGUCGCAAGCAUCUGUUUCGAUGGAAAACGUGCGUGAAAAAUCCGGCAGCGCCAAGACUGGGGUAUUGACCAUAGCUUGCUUGAGGAGGUCGAAGGCGGCCUGGGCUUGUUCAGACCAGAGAAAUCCCUUCUUAGUGAGCAGCUGUGUGAGUGGCUUGGCGAUGAUCCCGUAUCUUGGAACGAACUUGCGAUAGUAACCAGUGAGACCAAGGAAUCCCCACAGCUCGGUGGCAUUUGUUGGUGUAGGCCAUGAACACAUGGCGCUGGUCUUGCUGGCAUCCGUUGCCAUGCCUUCCUUGGAAAUCACAUGGCCAAGGUAUUUGAUGCGAGGCUGGGCAAAUGAGCACUUGGAUUCCUUGGCGUACAGUUGAUUUUGUCGCAAGAGAGUCAACACCGUGCGCAAAUGCUCGACAUGUUCCUGCAAUGUAUGACUGAACACCAUAAUGUCAUCCCGAAAACUUAUGACAUACUUACGGUACGGUCCAGAGAGGAAAGCAUUCAUGAGGCAUUGGAAUGUUGGAGGUCCAUUUGUGACUCCGAACGGCAUCACGCGGAACUCGAAGUGCCCGUGAUGAGUUUUGAAGGUUGUCUUUGCUUCAUCACCCUCCCUCAUGCGGAUCUGAUUAUAACCCAAACGCAAAUCAAUCUUGCAGAAGAAUGCCGGACCCGCCAAUUCAUCCAGUAACUCGUCGAUAACCGGAAGGGGGAAUUGUGCUUGAUAGCGACUGCGUUCAAUCUUUGAUAAUCCACGCAGAAUCGCCAAGAUCCAUCCUUUUUCUUGACCAACAGGACCGGCGCAGCAAACGGGCUCAUGCUAUGGGUGAUGAGGCCCUUGUGGAGCAUUUCAGCAACCUGUCGCUCGAUCUCAUCUUUUUGCAGUGGCGAAUACCGGUAUGGUCCACAGUUGAUUAGUGUUGUGCCCGGUUCCAGAGUGAUGGCGUGAUCGUAUUAUCAACGAGGAGGUAAUGUGUUUGGCUCCUCAAAGACAUCACGAAAGUCUGUGAGUAUCCAUUGGAUGAUCGGGGGAAUUAGUUCUUCUUGAGGUGAUAUGAUGCGGGGGCCUGAAUUUCCAACAGAGCUGCGCCCCAGAUUUCGUUGGCCUCCUGCAGUUGCCAAAGCAUAGUAGCAUCCAUUGCCGCUAGCGUAGGCUGCUCCUCCGUGCGCACACCGAACAGCUGUACCGUGGUUCCCACCUUGACGCAUUCCAUCGAUUUCAGAUUCCAAUCACAUUUCAUUGGGCUAUACUGAGCAAGCCAGUCGACUCCCAGUAUGGCAUCAUACACGCCAAACUCCAACACGCGCAUAUCGGUGGCAAAAUCAUGACCCUGAAUGGUCCAGCGGAGUUGGGGUGCCAUAGUUGUGCAGGUCAACCGUUGGCCGUUGGCGACGCGAACGGCCACUGCCGGCAUCUUGGUUGUCGAAGCUGCCACACGCUCCGCAAAAGCCGUCCUAACGAAACUGUGUGUACUGCUAGAGUCGACGACUAACAACAUUGUCUGUCCGCCCACAGUAACGCGAAGUCUAAUGGUUUCUGCUACUUCUGUGCCCUCUGCAGCGUGCGCUGACAGUAGGCAGCACGCGGUGUCAGCCACCACUGGUUCAUCUAACAGCUCCAGGGCGCGCAGUGCAUCAUCUGACAGAACCUCUCCACAUUCCCCAACCUCAAUGGUAAGUAGCUGAGUUGAUCGCUUACACUGAUGGCACCUGUAAUCCCGUAACUGCCGCUCUCUACCGAAGUCAUCUGCCGCUUGUUUGGUUGUGGUGAUCGGUUUGGGUGGGUUCCCCACUGGCACAACGGUUGUAGCUGCCGGUGAGCGUCCCGGAGUUGGUGCAGAGUGGGGCAGUGGAGGCGGUCGACCUGCUGGCAAUGGUUGUGACUUGGGGUGCAGAUUUGCAAACUCCUCUUCCUGAAUUCUUGCAAAACUGUGGCACGGGUGAUGCUGUUGGGUGCUUGAAGGCGUACAGCAGCGCGCAGCUCAUCCUUAAGGCACAACAGAAAUUGUGUAACAAAAAACUUGGGACUCAGGUUUGCAUCCAAGGCCAGCAAAUUGUACAUGAGAACCUCAAAUUGCUGCAUGUACUCAAUCAUGCUGCCGGUCUGCCGCAAUUGCAAGAGGUUGUGCAUCAGGGACUCAAACUCGUCCGGUCCAAACUCCUCCUCAAUCGCGUGCCUGAACAUAUCCCAGCAAAGAAUCGGAUGUUGUUGCCGAAACGCGCGUAACCAGAGUGCAACAUGCCCUUCCACGUAGAGCGCUGCGGUGGUCACCCAACUGUGCUCCGACACGCGGUAGAGCUCAAAAUACGCCGGGCACCAAUCCAGCCAGAUGCGCGGGUGAAGUAAUCUUCGGCGGUUGUUGGUGAUGAGCGCGCUCUGGUGGUGGCGGCUGCUCCAGUACUGGAAGCAGCGGUGGUCUGUCACUGAUCAGACGGGCGCACGACUGGCCGCCAGUCAGCGCGUUCGGAUGUGGCAGCGCGUUCGGAGGUGGAGCGACGCGUGGCUCCGGUGGCGAUGCUGGUGGUGGCACAGUCGUGGUCGGGUUGUCGAUGUCGGAUCUGGCGGAGAGGGCCGACGAGGGUGAAGAGGAGGCCCCCUUCCGCACGGCAUCGACCUCGGCUUGGGUGAGACCGAUCUGCUUUGAGAGGCUGGCGAGCUCUUGGGAGACCUGGCUGUUGAAGGUGGCCUGCACCUCUGCGCGCUUCCCCGCCUCCGCCCGCUCCUCAUCGAAGCGCUCCAGUAGCUUCUCCAUGAGGGCCGAGAGGUUGGUUGUCUGAUUCUCCAUGGCGGCCAUGAGAUGACGCGUCUGCGCAGAAGCCUUGGAUGGCGCCGUUGCUCCCGCUCCGAGCAAAUCGAACCCCGCACAGGAUAUCGUGCGAAUUCACCGAAGCGAAUCCGCACCUGAUGCGGUGGGUGUUACCGAUUUACCAAGAGGAUGUGGGGCGACGACGCGGAUCGGCAGCGGAGAAGAAAUUUCGUGGCCUCUGAUACCAAUUGUGACGACCGAUGAACCCUAGGAAGGGGGGUCGAUCGCACAGGGAAGGGGAUCGGGUGAGAGAGGAGGCAGGUAGGUGAGCAGAGAAGGAAAGGGGAUGAGAGAAUCCAGAUCGUAUUUCAUUUCCUGCCUCUCUCAUUUGCGGCCACCGCUUAAGUACAAGUCCACACACACACAAGUUGGCCACAAGCGGCCCACUACAUCCACUGGGCUCUGGCCCAUACACUCUCAUCCCCUAUCUAGUCCACUGAUGUACUCACAUCAGGUGUGACAUAUCAUCAUCAGAUCCUGUGUCUAUAUUUUGUUUUGCUCGACGAGUUAUUCAGCAAUACUAGUGCAAAGUAGAAAAUUAUCAUAGAUCGUAGUUGUAACCUGCUUUCGUGCUUGUGACUUUGGCCUGCAUGAUUUUGUGGGGAUGUGGUACCAGACUAUAGGGUAGAGCGGACGAUUUCUUGCUGUUUCAGUCAAGUGCUGUUCUCGGUGGAGUUGUGCCUCCGAUGUGCUCUUCGGGCUGCUCGGAGCCAUGCUGUCAGAGCUCUUCAUCAACUGGGCCAUCUACACCAACAAGGUGGGUGCAUCUCCAACCAAUUCUGCAGCGGUAGCAGCACCAGUAGUACUUCAUUCUGAAAAUCCGUCAAGUUUCUCUGGAAUUUGGUUAACCUUGUUGAAAUUAUAUGCUCUGGAAUUUGUGAUUCUGUGCACAACCAGUGGAUUGUUGCACGAUUUUGUAAGUUCAACUGUGAAAGGUUGUUUUAUGACUUAUCCAUCUCACAUGACCACCUUCUAUAUCUACAUGUAUCUAUCACUUCUUUCUACUUACAUGACGGAUAUAUCUACAAGUAAACCUACAGGUUCUUUGUAGUUCAAAUGGAGUAUCAUAUAUCAUUUUUAUUACUCCCUCUGUCCCAAAAUAAGUGACUCAAGCUUACACUAACUUUAGUACAAAGUUAGUGUAAAGUUGAGUCACUUAUUUUGGGACGGAGGGAGUAUUAUGCAGAACUGUUUGUUCAGUCACAUCUGCCCUUUGCUAGAGAGAGCGAAAACGGAAAACUAUUGUGGAGCAAAUUAGAUGGGCGAACCAAUAAAUAAUUAUGUAGCUGUACAUGGCUGGCAAUGGUUCACAGGGAUAUUCCUUACUUAUAUUUACUUGAUAUUUUAUCUUAAUAUUCACUAGACACAAUUCUCUCAUGGUUGCAAUAUUUUUCCUAAGUUCACUCCAAUUGUGUUGGCAUUCAUGCUUUAUUUCUUUUAAUCAAUUAACUAAUCAUAUCGAGAAAAUAAAUAUAACUACUUGAGAAUAAAGGGAAAAUGAGAAUAAAGGAUUGUUGUGGUGGUAGAAUGGUAUUUUUGCUUAGGCGCAAUCAUACUCAUGGAGUACUCCCUCCGUCCCAUAAUAUAGGACAUUUUUUGACACUAGUUUAGUGUCAAAAAACGUCUUACGUUCUAGGAUGGAGGGAGUAGUAAAUAACCUAUCAUGUCAUUCUUCAAGUCUGCACAUAGCAUUGUUAUUGUAGGAGCAGAUUUCUCAUCCUUAAGAAACCUGAACUUGCUUAAUAGCCAAUUUAGCGGUGUAUUACCAGUUCCGUGAUGUCAACUCUAAUGCCUUCGUUUACAUUCCUUGAUGUCAUUUCUGGUGUGCAAUCAUAUGACAUGUCUCAUGUAAAUGAGUAUGGGCUGCUGUCAAUUUUUUAAUCUACAAUUGAUCUAGUGUUUUUUUACAUGUUAGCUUAAUAUCCUCCUUUUCUAAUAUGCAAACUUAUAAUAUGUGAGGUGCAUAAGUGCACGAGGUGCGGUUUGCCUUAGGCAGCUCCUGCUCGUUGGUUGUCUCGUCCAGCGUCACUUAACCGUUGUGACCUGGCUGGUUUGGUUCAGCUUCGAGCUGCCCACCGCGGAGUGGGAGGCUGACACGCUCAUGAACAUCGAGGCCGUAUCAAGUACGCUAGUGCACUACGGCGUGCGGCGGCCUAUUUUGUUGUAGUGGUAUUGUAUAUGGUCUCAUCUAGCACUGAGUAUCCAUAUGUUGUCCUAAUCCUGUUGAUGAUGUUGUAGCAUAACGUGGACACCAUAUUCAGUUUGUCUUGAUGCUUUAUCUCUUGUGAUUCAAACUUAAGAGUGCCCCCAUCCUUGUUACUCCAUAAUACUAAUCUGUGCAUUUGUCCUUGUAAUUUCAGGAAGGCCAAAGAAAGAAAACACAAAACCAGUAGCAUGCAACUGCCAAGCCUUGAUGAGACUACACCGUACAGCGGAAAAUGGAUGGUAUAUACACGAUUUCAGACCUGAACACAACCACCAUUUGUCAUCAUCGUGUGCCGAGAAACUACAUUGGCCAUCACAGGAACACUGACACACACACACACCAAAGAUAUAGUGAAAUGUUGUGCUCUAUGUUCAUUCUGUUGUGUUAUUGAGAUCCUGUGGUGUAAUGAUACUACUGUGUUAUUUUGAGAAUUAUAUUAUUAUUACCUGCGCUUUUGGUUGACUACCAAAUUGUCCAAUGAAAUGUUGAUCUCCCUUGAAUAAGGCUGGACCGAAACUACUAAAUUGUGUGAGUGGGCUAGACUGUUUAGAGGAUAGGGCUGGCUUAAUUAAUAAAUAUGUUGUAUAUCGCCUCAGCCCAGAACAAACAUUAAUAGGCUGAUAUGUUGGGCUAGGCCCAUGGUUAAAAAUGGACUGAAUUAAGGGCUUGGCCCAUAGUUGUGGCCCAAAAGUAAAUUUGAAAAUGGGCUAUAUUGGGCUCGGCCCAUUGAAACAACUGUUUGACCGAUCCCACAUGGUGUCCACGUCAUCAUUUUUGCCAUGUCAUCACAUGUGCCAUGUGGACAUCGCCACAUUGGCUUGGCCACAUCAGAUCCUACGUGGUCUAGCCUAAUUAGUAAUGACCAUAAUUUUGGUCAAAGAUUUAACGACAAAAAUUUUGGUCAAGGGCAGCCAUGACCAAAAUUUCAGAAAAGGUCAUGUUUGUUUGUUCUUGACGGCCAACUGUUGACCUUCUAAAUUUGGUCAAAAAAGGUCAAUAAACGAAAGCAAUGACGAAUUAACAACCAAAAUGGAGAGUCAUAAUUGAGCGUAUUUCUGGUAGUGUCAGGGAAUCACAUAGCAUGUUCUGUCAUAGACCUGCAAAACAGAGGAAAAUUACUACUUGUACUAACCUUGUCAAGUGUGUGCAUGUAACAAAUGUUGGACAUAACUAAACACGGAAGAAUAAAAUGCAACAUAUGGCCAGAUCAAAGCUACAGUCAUGGCGGAGAGGUGAUAUGUAGAGGACGCAAACAACCAAUUGGUGUGUGGGAAAGAGGUUGCCUAUAACCUUGUGGCUAUAGGCACCCGCAUGGAGGACUGGGAGGUGGGAUGGCGCUUAAUCUUCGCCGGCGGCCGCCGCGGGGAGGGCAGUGUGCCUCCUCUCGUGUUCUUCGUUGAAAAGGUGGUGCGAGAUCGCGUGAGAAUUGGGGUGGAGGAAGGGAGGGGCCGGGACGAGCGGCUAGAUCCUGCCGGCGAGGAUUAAAACCCUAGCGGCGGCGAGGAAUAAACCCUAGCGAACGGGAUAAAAAUCGAACCGAAAAUAGCCCUGAAAUUCGUACUGAGAAUACCCUCGAAAUUUUUGGGUGGGAAAAUCUAAUCAGUUCGAAAUAUUUUUUCUCUUGAAAAUACCCCUCGGGGUCUGAUAUAAUACACGUGACAUCAGCGUAUUGCAUCGGAUCUGGACCUCGAAUUCGCUCCGACGGACGGUCCAUAUCGUCCGGAUGCACUGUAAAAUGACUCUAUUUAAAAGUUCAUCAUGCAAAUACAGUAAAAUUCAAUAAGAAUAACUCAUGGAUCACAAAUCUCACUAGUAGGCCGUUCACUACAGGAAAAAAAUUGUAAGUCAUGUGCCUAAUACAUUCGGCUUAUGCCGAUUUGCACUCGGCUUAUAUAUAAGCCGAGUAAAACUCCCGGUUUAGAGGACACGGCUUACAGGGGUCCCGUGCUAAAAAAACUCGGUUUAUAUAUAAACUGAGUGUUUGCGCGAGGCACACGGUUUAAUAAAGUAACAUGACGGUAGCCAUGUGUUAACGGCCAUGUGUCAGCAUCGGUAUAAGCCGAGUGCCGUGUGAAAUAGUAUAAGCCGAGUUCUUUUUUUCGGGUACUCGGCUUAUGUCACUCUAAACGGAGUUUGCUGGAAAAAACACCCGGCAAAUAAAAAGGACUCGGCUUAUGGGAGUCUAUAAGCCGAGUGCUGCUGAAAAGCCCUCAGCUUACAUCAGGUACACGCCAUCUACACAAAAAAACACUCGGCUUAUAGAGCAGACACGGCAAAGAUAGCUGCCACGUGUCCAAAACGGAGGUGGUUGACGGUGCCGUCACGGAGCAACCUGUAAGCUGUGUGCCCUGCAACAUCACUCGGCUUAUAUGGUCUCUAAGCCGUGUGCACUGCGACAGCACUCGGCUUAUAUUAAGUACAUUUUUAUAUCUUUAGCGAAUAGAAUUCAAAUUUGAAUUACAAGUGCGUGAAAAAGUUGACAAGGUUAGGUUAAAAAAUCAUACUUGUGUUCUUGAGUCUAUGUUUAGGCCAUAUGCAAGAAAAAUAAAUGAACUUCAAACAUGAGGGUGCCAAGACUUGUCCCCUGACAUGUAGUUUUUCUUUUUAUAAAUUUUGAGAAAUGCAAACGAACUCUGAAAAGCAUGAAAAUUGGCAUGGUGCCCUUACAUGACACCUAAAUACCGUGGUGAAAAAUUGAGAACGUUUCGUAAAGGGUGUGAUGUAUAUCGCUUGGAAACUAGACCAUCUCCGAAGAAGAAACGUGUUUUUGAGAUGGAGCGAGCGAGGUGUGAAGGUGACGCAAAUGUUCCUUCAACCGUUGGCCUUGAAACUUUUUCUACACUCAAUAUACACCAUUACUUGAUCCAUGUAAAAAAAUGGAAUCUUUCGGGCUUCGUUUGCUAUAUUUAAGCCAUUAAAUGCAUUUCUAUAUCUUUAACGGAUAUAAUUCAAAUUUGAACUACAAGCGUGUGAAAAGGUUGAUAAAGUUGGGUUAAAAAAACAUUUUUGUGUUGUUGAGUCUAUGUCUAGGCCAUAUACAAUAAAAAUAAAGGAACUCAAAACAUGAGGGUGCCAAGACUCGAUCUCGAACAUCUAGUUUUUCGGUUUAUAAAUUCCAAAAAAUGCAAAUGAACUCCGAAAAGCAUGAAAAUUGGCAUGGUGCCCUCAUAUGACACCUAAAUAUAGUGGUAAAAAUUUUAGAACGUUUCGUAAAAGUUGUGAUGUACAUCGCUUGGAAACUAGACCAUCUCCGAAGAAAAAACAUGUUUUUGAGAUGGAACGAGCGAGAUGUGAAGGCAACGCGACCGUUCCUUCAUCCGUUGGCCUUGAUUUUUUUCUACACUCAAUAUACACCAUUACGUGAUCCAUGUAAAAAUUUGGAAUCUUUCGGGCUCCGUUUGCUAUAUUUAAGUCAUUAAGUGCAUUUCUAGACAUUUAACGGAUAUAAUUCAAAUUUGAACUACAAGUGCGUGAAAAAGUUGGCAAAAUUUGAUUGAAAAUUCAUAUUUGCGUUCUUGAGUCUAUGUUUAGACCACAUACAAGAAAAUAAAAGGAAUUCCAAACACAAGGGCACCAAUAUUAGACCCAAACAUAAAGUUUGUUGGUUUUUUAAUUCCAGAGAAUGCAAACGAACCCCGAAAUUCUUGAAACUUGGUAGCGUGUCUUUAUAUGAUACCUAGAGGCUGUGAUAAAAAUGUAUGAGAAAAUAAUGCACUUAUGGGUCCUAAUUAAUAUGAAAACGUACUAGUAAAUAAACACACAUAAUGUAGCUCAUGUGCUUUUUUCUCAUUGGCUGAGCCGUGUGAGCCACGGAUCAGUGACAUGGCAAGAACUCAGCCGCAUAUCUCGUGCGCUCCUUCUGAAAUCGAACGGCUGUUGGCCUCUCUCCUCCCUCCCCUCUCUCCCUUAUUAUAUCCCCAUCCUCUCCUCAAUGGCUACCGGCUCUCCCUCCUCUCCGUCCACUCCUCCACUCCACGCCGCCGCCGCCUACGCCGAAGUGCCGCAGCCUCCUCAAAGAGCAGCAGUCAACGGAGCAAGCAGCAGCAACUCGCGGCAGCAGAAGCUACCCGUCCAUGCUCAGCUCGAUGCAGUGAUCCUCCUCGCCGGCGGGUGAGUGCUCCAGCACGGCCGCAUCGAUCCACCAGCAAGCAAAGCUAGCCUCUAUCUAGCUAAUCGAGCCGCUCGAUCUGCUCUCACGUGUACUAGACCACUAGUAGUAUGUAUAUAGCUAGCUAAUCGAUCCACUCGAUUGAUUCCUAUGUGUAACAGCAGUACGUACUACAUAUGUGUGGGCGUUUGUAGCCGGGGUGUAUACAUAUACAUUUGAAUACUCAAAUACCUGGGGUGUGUACGCAUACAUUUGAAUACCUGCAAACCACAAUACCUCAGAUUUGGCACUCGGAUUAUAAGGUAUAAGCCGUGUGUAACAGGUGCCAGGCACCCGGCUUAUAGGCACUACAAGCGGCGGCCUGCCAAAUAUAAGCCGAGAAGGAGGCACUCGGCUUAUAUAUAAUAUAUAUAAACCGAGCGUUGCGG
rnacentral:lncRNA from 1 species